rnacentral:lncRNA from 1 species
GAGUACGGGUGUACCAAAAGGAUUUUUAGAGGGAUAGAUGGAUUUCGACUUUAAAAGCUCCUCAAGUUGCUUCGGCAACUCCUCUAACUGUUCGGGAUCGGGAGACUGGUUUAGUUCCUUCCACCAACUCUAUGACAUGAUCAACGAUGCGCCUAGGAGGAAACUCUUUUGUUAAUUCUUUCAAUAACACAUUUUCAAAUUCUGCCAAGACUAGCUCAAUUUCAUGCGAAAUCGGCACCGACUCCUUAGACUCACAUAACGGCAGGCCCUUUUCAUUAAGGAUGACCGCAAAUGUCGACUCACCCUUUCGUAGUCCCUUUUCCAAUUGAUGGGGACUAAGUUCUGUCUUGCGACAUACAUUUAUUAUGCAUAGCUUGUUUCCUUCUUAAUAAAUAUAAUGUCUUCGUAUGGUACCAUAAUCGACCUUAAAUGAUCAACGAAGCGUAUGCUAAAAAAUAUUUCAUAAUCAUCGAUCGGAGCGAUGGAAAAGUUAGUCAAACCUGUCCAUUAACCCAAACUUAUAGGUACCUUCCCAUCCACUAACCCAAACUUAUAGGUACUUUCUUGGCUUCUCCUACCAAUUGUCUCCAUUCGCCGUUAACACUCUUAAAACACCCCGAUGCCGGCACUCACGCAAGCCCCAUCUUGCGUGCGGUGUUUUGACUCAUAUAAUUGACAUCCGUCCCGAUGUCCAGUAAAGCCAUCACUUGAUGCUCAUUAAUGUUGGUGUUGACGUACAUACGACCCCUAUCGUUUGUUGUCUAUACGACCUUAAGGUGUUAUACGCACGCGAUCUUUCAUUCCUCCGCCGGAUCAACCUGUUGUACAACCGCAGCAAGGCUGCCACGACUUGAGCAAUUACGAGUGUAAUACUCUUUACUCUUACAAAUGUAGCACCCCUCAAAAUUCUUCCCCAGCUUCUAAUUGUUGGGGCCUUUUUCCCUUCUACUGCUUCUUGACGGUUUUCGAUCGCUGGAUUUGUUUUGGCUGGUCCCCCUACUCUUUCCGUUGCCUGGCCUUUUGCCCUUGUUUUUUGCAGGUUCCUUCCGUUGAAACUCAAUCAACUUCUGGCCGGCCUUUAUGACUUGGGAGACGUUUUGAGGGUCUUUAUCCUCCACUCGUUGCUUAGCCCACGGUCGUAGGCUGUUAAAAAAUGUAAAUAAUGUGUUUUCGAGUGUCAUAUUUGGUAUUUUUAUCAACAAAUUAGAUAAUUCAUUUAGGUGGCGUUUGGUUCACACAUCGGAAUCGGAUUCGGAAUCGGAAUCAGAUAUCUUGGGUUUGGAAUGAGGUCAUUCAUUCCAAUACAUUUGUUUGGUUCAAGUACCUGAAAUGUGUAUCAUUACUAUAGUUGAUGUUUGGUUUGUCGACUCUUUCGGAAUGGAAUAUAAUAAAUAUAUUAUAAACCACAUCGUAAAUGAUAGUUAUUGACUCUUUGUAAAUGGGAUAUAAGAAAUUUUCACUAAUUAAAUAUAUUAGUAUAACUGUAUUAGUAAAUUUAGUCUAACUAAUUAAUAAUUUUUAUUAGUAAAUAUGUAUAAUUAUUAGUAUAAUUGGUAAUAUUAAUUAUAUUACAUAAAUUAAUAUACAUUAUAUAAUACAUAUAACUAAUAAUAUUAUUAUAAGUUUGUAACUAAUUAAAUUAAAUAUUAUAUAUAAUUAAAUAUAAAUAUACAAAUGUUAUAAUAUAAAUAUAUAAUUAUAAUUAUAUAAUAUAUACAAAUAUUAAUUAUACUAAUAUUUUAUAUAAAUAUAAUAUAUAUUACAUAUUAAAUAUAGUUAUUAUUAUAUUUAAAAUAAUAAUUAUAAUUGUGAUUUUAUAACUUAUUAAUAUUACAUAAAUGUAUAUAUUAUAAUUAUAUGCACAUAUAAUAUACAUUUAUAAAUAUACAUAUAUAUUAUAAAUAUAUUAUUAUAUAAUAUUAAUAAAUUUAUAAUAUAUAUUAUAUAGGUAUAAUUAUAUUUAACUAAAUAAUUAUAAUAUAUAAUUACAUAAUAUAAUAAUAUCAUUAUUAUAAGUUUGUAACUAAUUAAAUUAAAUAUUAUAUAUAAUUAAUUAUAAUUAUACAAAUGUUAUAAUAUAAAUAUAAAUAUAUAAUUAUAUAAUAUAUAAAUAUUAAUUGUACUAAUAUUUUAUAUAAAUAUAAUGAAUAUUAAUAUUAGAUAUAGUUAUUAUUAUAUAUUAUUAUAUUUAAAAUAAUAAAUAUAAUUAUAUAAUUAUAUAAUUUAUUAGUAUUAUAUACAUGUAUAUAUUAUAAUUAUAUGCACACAUAAUAUACAUUUAUAAAUAUACAUAUAUAUUAUAAAUUUAUUAUUAUAUAAUAUUAAUAAAUUUAUAAUAUAUAUUAUAAAAAUAUAAUUAUAUUUAACUAAAUAAUUACAAUAUGUAUUUUAUAUAAUAUACUAAUAUUAUAAUUAUAAUAUUAUAUAUAUGUAUAUAUUAUAAUAUAAAUAUAAUAUAUAUAAAUAUUAAUUAUACUAAAUAUUAUGUAAUUAUAAGAUUUUGGAAUCACACUUGGGUUUUGGACAAAACCCACCCUUUUAUUAGGGAAUGGAGAGAUGCCAAAUUUUUAGAAAUCAUUCCAAAAUUUCAAUUUCCAUACCAGUGAACCAAACACCAAUUAUGGAAUUUAUUCCAUUACUUCAUUCCGAUACCCUUUUACCAAACGCCCCAUUAUAUAUUCCUUCAUAUGGCUGUCUUUGUGUUGGAGACAGCGGCAGCUUGGCCUUUGCCUUAUGUUCGGCAUUGGUCGGCUCGAAUUUGGCCUUGAGUUCGGCCUUAAAUGCAAUCCAAGUGGUGAUGGUGUUCUCACCACGGCAUCCUUCGUCACAUUUCCGUCUCCACCAUAUCAAGAUAGAAUCCUUAAGCUAUAGCGAAAUCGUUCUCAAACGAGUAUUGUCACCUACGAUGCCAAGGGCAUUGAAAUACUGUUUGAGCUCGUAGAGAAAAUUCUCAAUUUUUCUUACUUUUCUCGCACCAUCGUAAGCCUCUGGACGCGAAAUCUUCACUCUUGAUGUGGUCACAAUCGCACCUCCUGUUCCUUGUGCCCGUAACGCAUCAAUCUUGGCCUUGAGUUUUGCAAAGUCAUCCUGACAACUGACGAUUUCCCCAUGGUCACGCUAGCAUCCUGUGCUAGUUGGACCUUGCAAGUCUUCAACUCCCGCUUGAGUUGGAUGACUUCUAUGUGCAGAGACUCAACCAACUCUCGAAUAGCAUCGUUUCCCUUUAAUAGCUGAUCCACGGCCUCAUUGAGCGCACCCUGCAUGUCCUCGCGCAGCUCCGCAUAGUCAAGCUGCUCCAUGCGUUGGUCCAGCUCAUCCCAAUAGUCAUGAUGAUCAGUUACGGUUAGCUCCACCUUCCCUAACCUUGACUCAAGGGUCGCCAUCGAGUCUAGCACGGUCGACUUGUCUCGUUUGCCUUUGCCGCAAGUAGCAACGGCCCUUUCCGCCUCCCUCACGACUUGCUCCUCUUGCGGUUCCUUAGUGAUGUUCGAAACUAUGGCCAUCUUUACCGAAACUUAGAGAUGGUAUCAAGUUCUGAUACCACUUAUCACAGGUUGCUUAUUUUCCUACAAACCAAUACACCAUACAACACUAGCAAACGUUCAAGACUUAAGCUAUGAAUGGUUGGUUAGUUCAGCCAAAACAUAAAGUGCGCGGAAGUUAUGCGGAAGUGUAAAAGUAGUAAGUAAGAUAGAAAGUAUGUGUGGCAAAAGAAAACUUGUAUUGCACUCAAAACUCUUGUACAAGAUUGCCAUAAAUGGAAGCGGUUUGGCCUAUUCAUAGGCAAGCCAAGAAACUUAUACAUGACUCUAGAGAAUUCUACAAAGUACAUGCCUAAACUAGUUCUCUAGAAGUCUUUACACAAAGUGUAUGUACACUUGGACCCUAGAAACAUCUACUCAAGUCUUCUCUUAUCUACAAGGUUCUAGAUCAUUCCAUAAGACUCUUGAAUAGCUUAGACCGUUCCACAAACUUCUAGCAUAUGCUACAUAAUUCUAGCAACUUGUAGCAUAGCCUCCAUGCCUUAGUCAAGCCCACAAGUUUGGCACUCAGUUGGGGGAAUGGGAUGUGGGUCUACUUACGGUCCUAACUUUUCUGCCAGAACACUAUGUAUAGUGUUGUGGAACUGGCCUGUUAGGCACGGUCGCGCGCGAACAGUGUGGGAUCUAUGUCAAAGGGAAGGUGGCUGAGAGGAUUUAGUGAGAAUAUUGGGGAGGCAAGCAAUGCAGCUGCAGAGCUUUGGACAAUACUCCUAGGCAUGCAAACUGUGCUGAAAAAAGGAUAUGAUAAAGUAAUCAUUGAAUCAGACUCACAAGUGGCAUUAUAACUCAUGCAAAAAUAAGAGAGGAUAGCCAAUAUUGGAAUCUGAUAGAAAAGACAAGUGGCAUGCUGGAACAGAAGAAGCUAGAUACGAGAUGGUUCAUGGUAGGUGCAAAGUGAACACGUGUGUAGAUUACCUAGCAAGGAUGGGGAAGAGUUUAGUUAGCUUUAGGAAUCAUUGAUCUAAGGGACUAUGAGAAGACUUUUUAAGCCCAGGAUUUACAGUGUAGCCUUUGCCUAGAUUGUUGCUAUGUAAUGGGUCCAUGACCCUCCCUUAUACUAGGAAAAAAAAAGAAGUUUGAUUGUUACUCAAAAGUUUUUUGGUAUGAUGAGUUUUGAUAGAUAAAAAUAUAAGCAAGAUUUUAUCUUAGUGUUCAAUGAUGUCCAAAAUACCCUUUUUCUUCUAAUGAUUAACUAUUUUUAAUACAUUCCAAUAAUAGUGAAUAAUGUUAGUGGUCAUGGAAAAAAAAUUUUAAAAUUAAGUUUCACUUAUGGUGACAAUUGUAAUUAGAUGCAUUAGUGCAAUCAAUAAUUAAUAAUAAUGGUAGCAGUUUUGGAAUAAAAGCCUACAAACUUAAUCAAUUUCUAUUUGUGUGGAUAACUAAUUAAAAAAGGGUAAAAAAUAAAAAAACCCCCUGUGGUAAACCUAAUACACAGAAAAGCCCUCCAUGGUUUCAAAAUAUACAACACGACCCCUCAUACUUUGAACUAAAUUGUAAAUGUGACGGAAUUCGUUAAACUUAACGGAAAUGGACGAAAUGACCAAAAUGCCCUGAUAUAAUUAAGCAAAAGAUAACUCAAAAAAUCAUUUGUUUUAUUCUCUAAAUAGAGAGAAUUGAGGGUUAAGGGGUAGAAUAGGUAUAUUUGAUAAAAAUUAGGUCUAAAUUUUUUUUUUUAGAUUCCAAUAAGUCAUUUCUGUUAAGUUUAACGGAUUCCGUUACCUUUACAAUUUAAUUCAAAGCAUGAGGUGUCGUAUUAUAUAUUUUGAAACCAUAUGGGGCUUUUCUGUGUAUUAGACUUACCACAGAGGGCUUUUUUUUAUUUUUUACCCAUUAAAAAAUAAAAUACUCCAAUUUAUUGAAAAUUGAGAUGGAAAUUAUUGAUUAGCUAGCCACAAUUCCUGUUUCAUACAAUUGUCAAGAAAAAGUUCUCAUACGAAAAAAAAGUAUACUUGUUACUUUUGCCUUGUGUUGGAUUGUACUAAAAAAAUUGAAUAAAAAAAGAAAAAAUGGAUAAAUUCAAUUAUCUCUAUUUGUGAACUUUCAAUGGUCAAAAUCUACAAGUUAGAAAAAAAUUUAUGUGAUAGAUUAGUUAGACUCCAUUAUUGACAAAAAUAGCAAUAAAAAAGAAUUGAAAGAAUUUAAGUUACAUGUAGGUUUAUUUUUCUAUAUUAGCUAUAUUGUUUUAUUUUAAAAAAUUGUAAAUAUUGUGAUUUAUAUGUUUCAAAAUUACGAUGAUCUAAUAAUUUUGAUAAAAUAUGAUAUUAUCGAUAUUUGAUGUGCUAGAGCAUUUGACUCGUGAUUUCAAAUUAAAUCCUAAGGGGCAUGUUAACUACAUUAGAAUGCUUUGUGUCUUUCCAUUUAAUAUCUUAUCUCACCUAUAUGAAAGUAGCAAAGCUCGGAUGAAUAGUAUGGAACAGUGACUUAUGAUCGAUUAUAAUGUAAUUUUGCCAAAUCUGGUGGUGUUUUGCAUGACAAUGGAAGUUUUUAGAUUAGAUCGAGGGGACGUAUUUCCUUAUCAAGGUAGAAUUUGAAGAUUAUAGGAUAAAAAUGUAAAAACAAGAAUGCGUAUAUAAAUUCAACUUGGAAAAGGAAUCAAAAUACCAACCAACAAUCUAGAUAGCCUUGAAAUUGCCAUAUUUAGAAGAAAAGUCAUCGAUCCAUGGCAUUCUAACCCUUGCACAAGAACCCAAAUAACAUUGCUUAAAAAAAAUCAAAUAACUAUAAGUGUUUAACAAUUUUACUUAUUUAUAGGGUAAAAUACACUUUACCCCUUGUGGUUUAGCGAUUUUUUAUAUAACCUCUUAUAGUUUUAAAAGUUAUACAUAAUCCUCUCAUAAUUUGGAUUAAAGGUUUUUUUUUUAAAACAGGACUAAAGGGUUCAGGUGAUGGAAAUGAUCUUCUAUAACAAAACCUAAGGAAAUGUCAAGAAUAUCCUUGUUUAAAAAUUAAAAUGGUUCAAGUGACUAAAAUAUAUAAAUUUAAUAUACAUGACACUUUAAUUCCUUGUGAUUUUAUUUUUUACUACAUAAUCCCCUUAUAGUUUAGUACUUUACCAAAUACUCUCCUUAUAGUUUUCAAAAUAUAUACAUAACCUCCCUGUAGUUCAUUAAUAAUUUUCAACUUCUCAAAGAAGUACUUUUGAUAUUUUAGUUAAUUCCAUUAUGGAAUCCAAAUUUCAUGACUUUGACACUUUAGUCCAAAUUAUAAGGGGGUUAUAUAUAGUUUUUCAAAUUAUAAGGGAGUUAUGUGAAAAAACGCUAAACCACAGGAGGGUAAAGUGUAUUUUACCCUUAAUUUAAAAUAUCCUUAGAAUAAUGCUUUACUAUCAAACUGAAAUCAAUGCGAAAGAAAUUAUAAAUACUUUUCUAACAUGAUGAAUGCCAUCCCAUCUUUGGAUUUCUGUUGCUGUCCACAUUCUUAUCCUAUACAAAUUCCCAACUUUAAUUACCAAAGCUCUUAGCAUCAUCUGUACAUAACAAUGACACAAUGAGUAUUCAUUUCUUUCCUAGCAACUAAAAUUGCUAAUAUGACUCGAUUAUUUGGUCCAAAAGUAUAUUACUAGAUUCCUAAAUCUCUAUAUAAUCAUCUCCCGUCCAUGCCAAGAUUAGAGAGUAUCCCAAAGUUCAAUGAUAUAUUCUUUUUCUUGAUUCUUGUCGUUUACCACAAUGUUGCGGAUGGACCCCAAGUGAACGAAAGCCAAAAAAAAAAAGAGAGAUUUACACUGAUGGCUGGAAAGACGUAUGGUGACAAAUUCUUUUUUUUUUCAAAUAUUAAGGUAUAAUGAUGGUAAUCCAUGUUAUGAAAUUAUGUUGCUUGCUUAAUUUGGAACUAAUUCAAAGAUUUAAAGCCAAUACUUCAUCGUCUAACAAAAAAAAAAAGAUUUAAAAACCAAUCUCCAUGCAGUCAUUGCAUCAAAUUCACAAUUGGCUUGUUGAUCACAUUUGAUUUAGGUGACAAUAAAUGUAUUGAAGAGUCUUCACCUAAAAGUCAAAGGGAUUUUUGGACUAAGGUUGAUCAGUAUUUCUAAUUGUCUUAUACGAACAAUAUGGAGGAUUAGAUUUACUUGCUCGAUCAAAUUUUUACUUCUAUUGGUUAUACACAGUAUUUGAUAAUCACUUUGUUUGAGCUCAGCUUUUGUUGAUAAUCAAGAUUUUAAGCAAAUAUUGUAGUGUUUCCAAAGUGAUGUAUGUGUGUUUCUGAAUGGAUGAACAUUCAGUUUACUAGCCUGAGAAGAUCUUUCUUGCUCUCAAAUGCCAUGAAAAGAGUUCCAUAACAUGUGAAAAUCCAAAAUGUGAGAAGACGAAAAAGGCAAAUCCUGUUUGUUUAGUACUUAACGCAAUCCACCAAAGAGCCUCAUCUUAAUUAAAAGUGGCAGAAGUACACGGUCUAUCUACAAAUUGGGUAAUUUUCCAAAUGUAGACAACAAGCAAGCCGAAAUUGCUUUUGGUUUGACAACAGGCAAGCUGCGUGAACAAUUUUGAUAGCACUAAAAUAUUUGUAAGCAGAAAAUAUUUGUUGCAUUUUCUAGUCCACUCUCGGGGAUUCUCCCCAUUGAACAUAUUUAACUCAAUUUUAGGCAAAUUGUAACUAGAAUUCUCGCCCAAGAAUUCACAGCUCUUCACUUUUUCUUCUGCAACCACAUUCAACCUUUGAUGGAUAGGAGGGGUAGGAAGCAGAGGCAUACAAUCUUUCCCAAUUCUUUCUUCUUCCAUUGAAUUCUUCUCCUUAUUUAUCAUCAUGCUUGACUUUUCAAAUUUUUGAUCCAUUCCAAGAACCAUUGAGUCCAUCCUUUUGUCUCUUUCCAUCAUUUCUUCUCGUACCUGUAGUUGCAGUUUUCUUACAUCUUUCAUGACUUUGUGCAGCUUGAUUUCUUGCCUCUUGAGAUGGACUUCUAGUGUCUUAAAACAGGUACUUUUUGCCACUGUAGUUUCAAGAGCUGCUGAGGAAGAAAUAUGUUACAUUUCACUACCAAAUAUUUCAAUCGGUGAUCUAGGUAUGAAUUCUAUACAAAAUUCUAGGGAAGGGAUGAGAAAAUAUGAUGAAGUCAUGUUAAAUUGUCAAUUACUGGAUAAUAAAUGAAACUCAUGGAAUUUGUAUACGAGAAAAUGUUGAUAUUGAGUCUCAAGACCUGCAAUUGAUGGAAGGAAAAAAUAAUAUGCAAGAUAAAGUAGAUGUACCUAGUAUAUUGCAGCAGUGGUCUAUUGUUGAAAAGAAUUGGGUAAAUUACAUUUUACCCCCCUGUGAUUUACCCUUUUUUUACAUAACCCCCAUAUGGUUUCAAAAGCUAUACAUAACCCCCUCAUGGUUUGGAUUAAAGUGUCAAAGUAACGGAAAUAGUCACUCGUAACGGAAUUUCUAAAAAUGUCGAAAUUACCCUUAUAAAUACAUGACACAUUAACCCCGUAUGAUUUUUAUAUUUUACCAUAUAACCCCCUUAUGGUUUAAUACUUUACCAUAUAAUCCCCUUAUGAUUUUCAAAAUAUACACAUAACGCCCCUUGGUUAAUACAUAAAUUUCAACUUUACAUAAGGGUAUUUUUGACAUUUUAGGUGACGCCGUUAUGAAUUAUCAUUCCCGUCACUUUGACACUUUAAUCCAAAUCAUAAGGGGGUUAUAUAUAGCUUUUGAAAUCAUAGGGGGGUUACGUGAAAAAAUGCUAAACCACAGGGGGAUAAAGUAGAAUUUGCCCAAAAGAAUAAGAAAGGGUUUGAAGAACUCAGAUCAUUGAUGUUAUUAGGAGGUCUUGGAUUGGCAGAGUCUUGUGUAGUUACUUUCUCAAAGAUAGAGACCCAAUUUGUGCUACAAUUCUUUAAACUAAGAGACUUCAUGGAGGUUUUUAUAGGUUCUCUCCUUCAAGAGUAUUUGGCUGGAAUUAUCAGUAAGGAGUCCAAAAUUGUAAUGAAACCAUGGUCUCAAAUAGCCACUGGCUUCAAAUGUGGCACUGGUGUUGGAGAAGACUACAAAUUCUCAAACCAAAUUUUAUCAAGCAAGAUUCUUCAAGCCGCAAUUUGGGAUAUGAAUAUGAUAAUGCUUCAUAUUCCCUUAGCAAGAUCUAGAAACAAUUUGAGCCUUUUCUCUGUUGAGAACUUUGAUGAGGUGUUAGUUAAUUUGGAAGUGUAGGAAACCUGAUAUUCAAUUUUGGAAGUGAAGGAAGAACUGUGAUGCAAUUUUCUCAACCAUGUUUUCUGACAACUUAGCUAAUCUUAGUCAAGUCUCCAAGAAAUUUUUCACAGAGCAUGAUGGUAAAUUUUCUCCAUGAAAGAGGUGUCGAAAUUACAUAGUUGAAGGUGCAUGUAUUCCUGUAUAAGUGGGAUCAAGAGACCAAUUGCAGGCAUGUAGUAGAAGCGAGAUGCCAUAUUACAAUAUUUCGGCUGAGGUUGAAUCUUAUGGAGGUAUUAGAUAAUCAAAUUGUGUGUCGCGCCCCAUUUUUCGUGAUGGAAAAAUAAGUAUAAAAAUAGGUAUUUACAAAAGAUGUGAUUUUAUUUUAAAAUAAAUGAAAAGGACCUAGAAUGGGACUUAAAAAAAAUGCGACAAUUUGGGUCCAAAAUUUAGUCUAAAAGGGUUUUUAAGAAAAAAAUAGGAGUCGCCACUUGGUAUUGAGUUUUGGUGUACCAAGUCACCCAAAAAUAUUUUUUGAUAAAAAUAAAAUAAAAUAAAACCCCUUUUUGACAACUCCAGGUUUUUGAAAAACAAAAGAAAAAGGGUUCGGGAGUUACGGUUGAAGAAAGGGAAGGCAAAUGUUCGAUUAACUCAAACCUAAGGCACCCUUUCAACCUAGUCUAAGCUAGUUGCGAGGUUUAGUCAAAAUUUUCCUAAUCUAACCCUUAAUUUUAUCAUGUUUGGAUGUUUCCUACAUGGAUGCAAAUCUAAAUAUCGAAAGGGACAAAAUGUUCAUUCAAGAGUUUAAUUUAACCAAUCGUAUUAAUUGCGAAGGCCAAAAUAAUUCCUUGAAAGUGUCACGAGUAUGUAAAUGAUUAAAGUAAAAGAAAAGAAAAGAAAUUAAAUUAUAUACAUAGAUAUAAGUGAUCAAAGAAAAAGGGAAUGCAACAUAAAGGGUACGGGAGGCAAAAACUCGUGACAUGAUUUUCUUAUCCAGGGAUUAAUGGAACAUUUAAACUAAAAAGUUAUAAUCUCCCAUUUCCCAUGUUUGAAAAAUAAUUUUCCUAACAUGCACAAGCAAAUGAGCUAUCUUAUUAUACAAUGUCCUAAAUGAAAUGCAAUUCUAAAUGACAUGAUUAACACAUAUAGAGGAUAGGGGAUAAUAUAAUAGAAAAUAUCAUGCAAAUGGGAAAAGAUCCUAAAAAUGAAAAUAUGCGUGAAAAUGUAAUGAAUAUCACAUAAAAAUGAGUCUAACGCACGAACGAUCUAAGAGUCUAGCAUUGGACUAGUCCAUUUCUAAAAAUCCUUACUAGCGUUGGACUAGCAAAUAAGCAGAGGGGAAAAGCCACAACUAGCAUUGGAGUAGUGUGGUGACGUCAUGCAUUUUUAAUACAUAAUAAGACAAGUAGGCAUAAAUUAAAACAAAUAGACACAUAAGAGCACGUAGCACGUAACACAUAAGCAUAAUAUCUAGAUGCAAAAAUUCUAAGGAAAGCGGGUAAGACACGUAACACAUAAGCCACAUAAACACACAACCUACCUAUUACAUCGGGGAGCGCCUAACUACAAUCUAAAAGGGGAAAUAAAAUAAAACAAAUCUAAUUAUCCUAUCUAUUACAUUUUUGAGGUAUUUAAAUGCCUAUCAAAUAAUUAUAAAAUUAACUAAGCAAACGUAAGAAAAUUUAAAUGAACAUUCAAAUCAAAUAAACAAAAUAUAUAAAAAAUAUAUAAACACAUAGGAACACGUAGGAGCACAUAGGAGCACGUAAUUGACAUUGAAAUAAUAAUAGGGGUACCUCCCUUUUGAAGUGGUGACUAAAUGGAGUCAAAUUGCCCUAUUUAUACUCACAAUGAACAAAAGAAUCAUGGCACCAAUUUAAUUGAAAUAAUAAUAAUAAUAAUGAAAAUACUAAAUUCACCUUAACAUGUCAAACGUAAAUAAAUUUAAAAACAUCUAAAAAUUACAAGUUAAACAUACUCAAAAGUAACAUAAUUGGCUAUUAAAUAAAAAGAAGCAAUCAUAAUAAAGAGACUCAAAAUUCACUAGGGACUGAAUUGCAAAAAUUGAAAAACUUUUUGGGAUAAAAUUAUAUUUUUCCAAAGUUUAGAGGUUAAAAUUAAAUGAAAGAUGAAAUAUAGGGACCAAAGUGCAAUUAAUUUAAGGACCUAAGUGAAAGACAAUAAAAAUGUUCUGGGCCGUAGUAAAAUUGCUCCAAGGAUCAGGGGUAAAAGUGCAAAUUUCGGUUUCUGAUUUGGGCAAGGAAAGGCCAUCGGGCCAUCAUUUUAUUUCUUUGGGCCGAACACUGCCUAAGCCCAGCCGAAAGUCCAAGAGAAACGAGCAGGCCAGCCCAUCUUUUAUCACUCAAAACCCAACCAAAAAAUACAUGGGCUCUGAACUUUCUAGCCCAAACCGAAACCCCAACCAAAACUAACUCUUAGCCCAACAGAAAAUAAAACAUUAGCCCAAAUCAUUUUUCUUCUUUUCUUUCCUUUCUUUUCUUUCUUCUUCCUCCAGUCCCCAUCCGUUUCUUUUUAUUCUUCUUCGGCCAACUGAAGAAAGCUUCAGCUGCCUCCCUACUCCAAUUUUCGCGUAGAUUCUAUUUUUGAGCUUAGUUUUAACACAAAAUGGUCCGAAAGUGGCCAAAAUGACAAGAAAUCAGUCCAGUUUUUAUUCUUUUAUAACCCUUAAACCUUCACCAAAAAUCAUAAAAAUUAUGCCAAAACCCUCCUUAUAACAUCUACAUUACAACUAUAAUCUUAGUUUGACAAGUAAACAGCAACAAAAUGAUGCAUUAAGUCAAAACAGCCCCAAAAAUGAAGAAAAUUAUUUUAAUGCUUAUAAGGCUCAAAAACUCCAAAAUUUUGGAUAACUAAGCAUUUCCAGGAUUUGUACUAGCUGAUGGUCAUCCAUUGCUAACAAAAAAUAAGCACAAAAGAUUCACCAAUUUGAUUUAUUUUUCAUUUUGGCAUUUUCACAAACACUUGACAUGCAUUCAUAGGCCCGUUUCUUUUUUCUUAAUUUUGUUCAUAACUUAUUCCAAAAAAAAAAAAACAACAACAUCAGCAAGCAAUUUAUUUCACAAAACCCACAAGAUUAUUGAUCAUCAAAGCCGAAGAAAAGAAGAAGAAAAAACCGAACCAGUUUGCAUUAAAAUAAGGAUCAACUAAAUCUUUGCCAAAUUUCCAGGGGCUAUCUCGUCGGAAUCAAAACAAAAAUAAAAGGAGAGACUUACAAUGGUUUUACAAUGGAGAUUAUUAUGGCAGUGGUGGUGGUAAUGGCACUAGCAGCAAGCUCCCAAGCUUCCCCUUUUUCAUCUGUGGCUUUCAUCUGUCGAGGGAGAGAGCCGAGAGGAUGUGAGAGUUGGAGUGUUUUUCUACUUCUUGUUCUGUCAGGGAGAGAGCCGAAAGAGUAUUUUUUAGCCCAAAAGUGGAGUUUUUGUGUGUUGAUUUUGCCAAAAUGAUAAUUUCUCAACUAAUGAAAAGACAAGUCCAUGGCCAUUGAGUGUGAAAUGGGUUAAGUGUAUUUGGUGGGAAAAAAUGAUUAGGAUGAUUUGAUUUCUUGAUUUUCUCUUUUUCCUUUUUGUUGCUAUUUUGCUUCUUUUUUUUUGUUUUUGUUUUGUUUUUCUUUUUUUUUCCUUCCUAAAAUAAACCUGCAAAAAUGAGAAAAUUACACAUUAAAAUGUAAAAAAAAUAAUAACUCAUUAAAUAGAAAAUUUUGAGAAAACAUUAAAAAUUGAUAAAAAUUUGGUGUCUACAACUUGCACCUCUUUGUCUAGAGUUUCAAAGAAACUCAAGACAAAGACGUUGAGUUAAAACAAUCAAGCCAACAUUUGGCUAUAAUUAUUGAGCAAAAGGAUGCAAUAAUGUUGCAGAAAACGUGACCGAACUCAUGUAGAGUUGCCUACAUAUCCCGUCAUGGGAAUCAGGUCAAACGUAGUUCGAAUACAAGUGAACCCCAAUGAAAUAAGUACAUUGACCAUCUGUGAUAUUUACAAAAAUCGAAAAAGUCCGAACUCUCAGAACUUCUAAACAGGAAAUACAAAAUGAAUGUUAAAGCACAAUUAUUAACCAAAUAAUCAAGAGAAACGGUCAGUGGGUUAAAACCCGAGCUUGCCGAGGUUGGAGGGAUAAAAACACAUGCCCCACGAAAAUAAAAACGGUCAGUGGGAUCAAACCCGAGCCUGCCGAGGUUGGAGGGAUAAAACCCAUGCCCAACGAAAAUAAAAAAGGUCAGUGGGAUAAAACCCGAACCUGCCGAGGUUGGUGGGAUAAAAUCCAAGCCCAACAAACAUAAAAACGGUCAGUGAGAUAAAACCCGAGCCUGCCGAGAUUGGAGGGAUGAAACCCAUGCCCAACGAAAAUAUUAUAGCAUGUACCAUUAAUCAAGGCCGUGUUUGUAGGCAUUUAACGCACAACUAUGGCCCCUUUUAGGCAUUUAACGCACAACUCUCACGACCAAAAGGGGCUAUACAUACGAUUACUUAUUUCCUCUUCUUUUGUACUUGUUUUUUUUAUUAUCAUGUUUGUAUUGAUUUUUUUUGGUAAUACUCUAUUGAAAUUUCAAUGUACUAUUAUUUGGUAGGUUUUGUACAGUAAUUUUUUUUGCCAAUAUGCUAUUGGUCAUUUGGAUGCAGUUCUUAAUAAAGAUACACGACUAAAUCUUACAAAUCUGCCAAAAUGAUUUAUUAUCUUGGCUUAAAUGAUGAUUUUCAAUUAUGUGAAUGACGCACCAAAACAUUGUGACUAAUUAUUCAAUAAUUGCCCAAUGAAAUGAAAUAUGUCCUCUAAUAUUAGAGAUGUAAAUGAGUCGAAUCAAUCUAAUAGUAUUUAGGAGAGCUUGAGCUCAAGUUUAAACUUGAAUCAACCUUGGCUAUUCAUAGGAAAACUAUGUAAAUUAUCUAGAAUGAUAGAGCGUAUGUGUGUAUGUGAGUGUUUAUAAGAAUGAAUUGUGGUCAAAUUUUGUAAUUCAAUUUUAACCACAAGGGUACGGGCAUUUUGGAAUUGUGAGGAUGUUUGGAGUGUGGUUGUAGGCUUGCAGCAUGGGAUACAACUAAUGGUAGAAUAUGUUUUCUUAUGUUUACUUAAAUGCCCUUGUAUUCAUGUGAAUGCACUGCUAAUAUGUUCAAAGUAAUAGUAUUUUGGAAUUGUGAUAUUACUUUGAUCGUCUUUUGGGCAGUGGGUACAAGUUAUGGUAGCUUUAGUUUUGCUUAAUUACUUAGAUAUCCUAGGAUUCAUUAAAACACUCUUGGAUCAUACUUAACAGUUAAGUAGUAAUUAUUAGCAGUUGGGCAAAUUUUCCAGCAAUUUCCAAGUCAAAUUCAAAUUAGGAUUUCUUGUUCAUGAUUUCAUCUUCAUAUCCUAGCAGAAUAAGGAAACAAAAUCCUCUAUAAAAUCACUGGUUAUAUGCUCUUGUUAGAACCUUAUUUUUGUUAUCUUUGCAUGAGAAUUUGUAUCAAAUCCACAUAAGCAGAAGAUCGAAGAAGAUGCCUUGCAAUAAAUCAUCCAAGAAAAAAGCCCAGAAGCAAGCCGAUGUCUGGAUACUGAUGCUGGCAUGGUGAAUGCAAGCCCAGAAGCAAGGAUACGUUACCCUGGAUGAAUGGAGAAGAGGGCUUCAAGCAUUGAAAGCAGAUACAAUCUUUAAACUGAAAAAGGCACUUCCCGACCUUGAGAAAGAGAUUAGGAACCCGGCAACUGCAGGUGCUUCUGAGGAUUUCAACACUUAUGCCUUCCAGUAUUGUCUGACAGAGGAAAAAUAGAAAACCGUUGAUAUUGAAAGCGUAUGUGUUCUGUUUGACCUUGUUCUGGGUUACCAAUUUGGUUCACAAGUUGGUUAUUUGGCAGAAUAUCUCAAGAUGCAAACUGAUUACAAGGUUUUAAACUUGGAUCAGUGGAAGUGGUUCUACCAUUUUUGCACUGAGAUAAGCUUCCCUGACCUGAGCAAUUAUGACCCUGACCUUGCUUGGCCCUCUAUCUUGGAUGAUUUUGUUGACUGGAUGAAAGCCAAGAAGGGUUGAAGAUCAAAUUUGUAUGCAGAUUCAAGCCCAGUCUUGCUAUACAUAACACCUUGGCUGCCUUGUGCACCAUCUUCUAUUCAAUUUUGUUGUUGUUUAUUAUUAUUAUAUAACAAGUGCGGAACCUUAAUUAACUUUUAUUCUGUUGCUCUUCCUUUUGAUUUGCAUCUUGCAACGAGAAUUAUACACAUUCUAACCAAGGUAAAUCACACCAGCAAAUUAAUUUGAGUUGGGAAAAAAAUUCUUUGGCCGAUUGUAGAAUUCUGUAGUAUCCAAUUUGUUACUUCCGCCAUCCUAUGUUGAUAGUAUUAGUUUUCUGUUUCACACAAUUUAAACAAACAUUAGUUAAUUUUGUUGGAAGAAUAAAUCUAAUAUACUGUUUUUCUAAAAUAUCCUUAUAUUAAUAUUAGGAGCAUGACUUAUCACUAUACCUUUACAGUAAUUAUAACAACAAUAUCAUAAAAAGUAGCACCAUUUAAGGCAUGAAAGCAACUAAUGAAUGAGGUAGGCUAUACUCACUGAUAGCAAAGUACAUUGAAUAUGGGUAUUUUAGACAAAUUACAAGUUAACUAUAUUCUUCAAUUAGAAAGUGGAUUAUAAUUUAGGACAAAGAGAAGUACAAGUUAACUAUAUACUUCAAUUGAAAAGUGAACUAUAAUUUGGGAUGAAUGAAAAGGAAAACAAAACUAUCAAAAUAGGGCGCAUGGAGUAUAUCUAACCAAUGAAAUGCUAUAAUUGCACUCUAUCUCCUCAAUAAAAAUUAUAAUUCCCUAAAACUUCUAACAACUUCAUAUGAUCUUUUUAAUAUUUGAGUUACAUCAAUGGGAUUAUUUGCAAUAGAAUAUUAAUCAGAUCUACAAAUUCUUUAAAGAAACGUAUGAGGAACAAUUUUCCUUACUUAGAAUAGCUUUUUAUAUUUUACUUGAGCAAGUAGCAGCAGUACGUAAAUUCAAAUAUAACUAUGCAAUUUUAUAGGCAUUUAAUGCACAACUCUCAUGACCAAAAGGGGCUAUACAUACGAUCACUUAUUUCCUCUUCUUCUAUACUUGUUUUUUUAUCAUGUUUGUAUUGAUUUUUUUUGGUAAUACUCUAUUGAAAUUUCAAUGUACUAUUAUUUGGUAGGAUUUGUACAGUAAAUUUUGUUGCCAAUAUGCUAUUGGUCAUUUGGAUGCAGUUCUUAAUAAAGAUAUAGAAUAAAUCUUACAAAUCUGCCAAAAUGAUUUACGAUCGUGGCUUAAAUGAUGAUCUUCAAUUAUGUGAAUGAGACGGCAAAACGAUGUGACUAAUUAUUCAAUAAUUGCCCAAUGAAAUGAAAUAUGUCCUCUAAUAUUAGAGAUGUAAACGGUCGAGUCAAUCUAAUAGUAUUUAGGAGAGCUUGAGCUCAAGUUCAAACUUGAAUCAACGUUGGCUAUUAAUAGGAAAACUAUGUAAAUUAUCUAGAAUGAUAGAGCAUAUGUGUGUAUGUGAGUGUUUAUAAGAAUGAAUUGUGGUCAAAUUUUGUAUUUCAAUUUUAACCGCAAGGGUAUGGGCAUUUUGGAAUUGUGAGGAUGUUUGGAGUGUGGUUGUAGGCUUGCAGCAUGGGACACAACUAAUGGUAGAAUAUGUUUUCUUAUGUUUACUUAACUGCCCUUGUAUUCAUGUAAAUGCACUGCUAACAUGUUCAAAGUUAUAGUAUUUGGGAACUGUGAUAUUACUUUGAUCUCUUUUGGGCAGUGGGUACAAGUUAUGGUAGCUUUAGUUUUGCAUAAUUACUUAGAUGCCCUAGGAUUCAUUAAAACACUCUUGGAUCAUACUUAACAGUUAAGUAGUAAUUAUUAGUAGUUGUUGUCUUUGAGAAUUUUAAGAGACUGUCGUUGUGCAACAAGAUGUUAUAGUAGUAAUUAGUACUUUGUUUAUUGGUUUACACUAAUACCCUUACUAAGUUGUUUUGUUAUCAUCUUAAAGCCAGAAAAAUCUUGGUUUGCUAGGAAAUUUUAGUGAUUUAUUUAAUACUGAGUUUUAUGCCUGAGCAUCAGUUUGAAUGUACACUUACUGAAAUAGCAGCUUUAUCAGGGAAUUUCUCAUCUUAGUAGGAGCUUUCCAAAAUAGCUUAGUAGCCACAUUAGUAGCGCUUGGGAUGAUUUUAGGCACGGCCUAUUCCCUUCGGCUAUAUAGUCGUGUGGUUUCUGGGAAUUUAAAACCCAAUUUGCUCCACAAAUUCUUCGAUUCAAAUGGCAGAGAAGUUUCCAUAUUUAUACCUUUUUUUUCACUCCCAUCCUCAACCCCACUAUGGAGCUCCGUAUCUAGCCUCACUCUUCAAAUCAUGACCCAUAUGAGAUUACUUAGAUCAAUUCCUGCAACAUGACUUAUUACACGUGUCAAGAUUUGAACAAUAAGGUUUUGUAAGGGGCUCCGUAGUGAGACUGAAGACCAGAAGUGCUUUUUAUGUUGGAGAGACGAACAUCUGUUAAACAACCAAAGAAAUAAGGGUAAACUAAUGUAAUCAUGAUAGAACUCCAUUAUCUAAUCUCACUCCUCAAAUCAUGACACAUGUCAUAUGAGGUCACUUAGAUCAAUUCGUGCAACAUGACUUAUUACAUGUGUUAGGAUUUGAACAAUGAGACUUGGUAAAGAGACUCCAUAAUGGAACUGAGGAUUAGAAAUAUAUUUUUGGUCAGAGAGACGACCAUCUAUUAAACAACCAAAGAAAUAAGGGUAAACCAAUGUAAUCAUGACAUUAUAGGUGCAUGCAACCGGAUGGAUGCAACUUCCCUCGGUUGGUUUGGGUGGCAUACCUGUAAUUUGAACAGUUACUGAAACUUGUCUCGCCUUUCGCUAGAUGCUUAUUUUUAUCGUCAUUGUACUCUUCAUUUCUAGAACACUAUUUCAGAAAAGGACAUUUAUGCCGAAAAUUUGGAUUUAAAAACCAAAGAAACCGUUAGAAACUAGAUUCAAAUCCCAGAAACUUUCAUGAAGAUCACACUUCAGAAAGUAGCAAACUUCAUCCUCAAAUUUUUGGAGUGAAUCUCACCCAGCAAAUCUAUCCCAGGUUGGCUUUUUACCCAAGUAUGGAAAAUCAUGUUUAUUCAUACAAAAAUCUAUUGCAUUUAAAAUUUCUAUCACAUAAUACUCUAGUUUAUAACAAAACAAGUUUCACUAAAAACAAAGCUCUCUAUGGUGACUUAUGUCACUUCAAACACUGGCACCCAACCAGACAGUAGGACAAUUUCUAGAUUUAAUAGAACAUUCUUAACUUUUAAAGAAAUGACCCAUGAACACCUGGAAAAAUCUUCAAAUUCUCCAGAAUUACAUUUGACUUAUAGUACUUUAAAUUCACGAUUCUAUUUAAGAAAAUUUACUUCAAAAGUCAAGAGUUUUUCAAUCCAAGUUUUGGCCAUUUAAACCUGUUCAGGUUUGUCUUGAUUCAAGAGUCAAAAUUUUAACAUCUAUAGAACUUGGAAAUCUUCAUAAUCUAACUCAUCAACAUGUUUAAACAACACCAUAAAAGUUUCCUGGAAAAACAAAUUAUUCAAAUUGAUUUUCUUGAUAAAAAUUCGUCAAACAUCACAACCUAUCAAACUAAACUAGAUUCAGAACAAAAUAUAAAAACUGGGGUUAGACUUCGAAUUUCCCUAUGAAAUUUUAUACUCUUGUCAUAUACAUAUAACCCCAUAAUUCUACAACAUUUCAUUAAAAUCAGAUCACCCCACUGCUCCCUGUAAAUUCCAGAAGUUUAAUUCAGCAUGAAGUGAAACCCAAGCCAGUUAUAAACAAAAAUUCAUAACUCAAUUUACAGAAUGAAUUUUCCUUUGAAAUUUUGUACAUAUAUUGCCAACACAUAGAACUACUGAACUGAUAAUUUUCAUACAAAGAAAAUAAAGUUAGAGGUAGAGACGAUUUUUCAAAAAUUUUACAUAGCAAUCUGUCAAAUUUCUGAUUUCUCUAGAUUCCCAAGAAUAAACAAUCACGUAUUGUAUAUUAGACAACUCAUCUAAGAACCCUCGGACAUGAUCUUCAUAGAGGGAGAUCAAACAGAGACGAUUUUGCAAAAAUUUUACGUAGCAAUCUAUCAAACUUCUGAUUUCUUUAGAUUCUCCAGAAUAAACAAUCAUGUAUUGUAUAUUAGACAACUUAUCUAAAAAUCCUCGGACAUGAUCUUCAUACUAGGAGAUCAGAAUUUAAUAUACAAAAUCCUCUAGAAACUUUAUUAAAAAGAAUCAUAACCAUACCUCUACUGCAGAAAUCUUCACCUCUUCCUUCAGUACUCUUCUAUUUCGCCAAGUUAUAGCCACUAACUCACCUUUGUUCUCCCGUGUAUAAGCUCUGCACUCCCUCAAAAAGAAUAACACGUAGCUAACAUCCAACCCUAGGCAUAUUUAUAAGGGUCAUUCAACACCUAAACAAAUCACACAUUAACUUGGAUUUUUUACUUCUUCCAGCUAUAAACAUCAUAAUUCUCUUGAACUAAGAGUCUCCUUAGUCCUUUGCUCCCCUUGUCCACUUAUCGCUGUUCAAGAGAAAGUUCCUAUCAGCACUAGAACUCCAUCCUUUUUUCUCGUUCUGUUGUAUUGGUCAAGGAUGUCCAACUUUAUUUCGAAUACAACUCAUAAACUUAUCCAAAUUCUUUUUCUUAAUUUCUAGAAAAUUCCUUUCUCCAUUUUCCUUUUUUCUUCAGCCGAAUUUUCCCUUUCCUUUUAUAUACAUCGGUUGUCCAACCCCUAAUUUACUUUUUUUUAAAACACUUUUGGCCUAUUAAAUUCUUACAUUACUAACAAUAAUAUUCCAUAUAAAAUAGAUUCUUCCUACUAGAACAAAAUCAUUAGACAUUACAUAAAAUUAUUUUUGAAUAAGUACAUGAAUACUUUGACCAAUAAAAAUCAAGCUUUCACUAGUUUAAAAUACAAGGAUUAUUUCUUCAAACAAUUGCACUUUGAAACAUGUUUGUACUUUGAAAACAUAUUUUUACACAUUGAUUACUUUACAAAAUAUAUUUUACAAUCAAAACACAUUUACCUUAAAUAAAUCCUGAACAGAGAACUCAGUAGGGAUACUUUUUUAAGAGAAAGAACCAAGAAUAAGAAUGGAAGAAUGAAGAAUGGAAGAAUGGAAAACGAAGAUUUGAGGUGAUCAAAAUGGAAAAAAUUAAGUGAACAGAACAGCAAUACGACAUAAAGAAUGAUGAUUACAUUUAUGAUCAGACACAGCAACUCUGGGGAGGUUCUCCUCUUCCUUGGUGGACAAGGACGAUAAUGAUGAUCAUCAGCAAAGCUGGUGGGUUCUUGAACCACGAAGCCUGGCUGCCCCUCAAUCUUCAUCGGUGGAAUUCGAGUUCUUGUGAUGCCUUUCCGCCCGCCCUUCUUUCCAUGGCGCCCAUAGUCACGCUCCAUAACUAUCAUCCUGAGUGUCUCUUGGCAGAAUUCCAAACAAGGAAGAUGGUGUUGUUUCUUGGGGGAUGGACUGGAUUUUUUUUUUUCUAUUUUUUGGUAUUGUAUCGUGGAGGAGAGCAAAGAAGUUGGAGGGAUGACAUUUUAUAAGGAAAGAACACCGCCAAUCCAAAGUAAUUAGAAAAUCAGGAAAAAAAUAAAAAUAAAAAGGUCUAGUCCUUGACAUAAUAGCAGUUUCAUAAGAUGGCUUUUUUCUCACACACAAGAAAAAAAAAGGUAAUUUUGAUGCAAAUAUCCGCAUAUAAAUCCAAUGAAAGGCUUAUUGCAGACAUACCAAGCAUGAGCACAUUAAUCCUUAAGCCUAUACAUCUAUCACUUGAGCAAGUACAAGAAUGCUUACCAGAUUACAAUUUACACAGACUCAAGCAUCAAUUGACUUUAAAAUCUAUAAAAAUGGAAUUGAGAAAUAGCUUUUGGAGACUCAGAAAAGUCAAUGAUUGUCAUCAUUUUUAUUAGAUCUCGUCAUCUGCAAAACAUUUGUAGACAACUGCUUGGGCUGAACUGAAUUGGCAACCCAUCUGCCAACUGCCUGCCUUGAAGCCUGAGUGUUUUCUACGAUGAUUUUUUUUUCAAUUUGGACCAAGACUCGAGCUUUUUCUUGAUGAGCAAUCCUAGGGGAAAACCCUCCUAGAACUUCCCAACUUUGUAAUAUCAGAGUUGGACCUUUUCUCCCAAUGAAAAUUGAACUCGAUUGUUCUCAUGAACUCAAGACCUCUGACACACGAAGGUAAUCAGCAACCUUAAACAAAUAAAGAUGGAUGAAGAGACACCACGAUUAGGGAACAAACUAAUCGAUAAAGUCUGAUUUGAAUCCUAAACUAUGAACUCAAGAAUUCAGGAGUAAGUUCGAUUAAGAACUUGAAGGAAAAUUCCUCACGAUUUCCGGUUAUAAUAUUCCGUCCCUUUACUCGUACAAGAUGUGCCUUUUAUAGGCUAGAACUAGGGCAACUCACCUACCUAAACUAGGAAUAGGAAUUCGGCCUACAUAAAGACGCAGCUCUUUAUGCUUUUCGAUAAGGCCCAAUAAUUAAUAAAAUCUACUAAAAGGAUUAAAACUAGAGAACAACAUGUCCUUUGUGCGAUUAACAAAUUAGGUAGCUUUAAAACAACUACUAACUAACCUAACAAGUAUGAGAUCAUUCUUUCACUUCAAACGUACAAGUGAACAAGGUAAUUUCAUGGUCCAUCAAAUCUUCAAACUUAACUUGCUCCUUGCUUGUAUGGUAAAUGAUCAAGGCUUGUAAAGCUUCCUUCACCCUCUUGGAUCUUGAUCUUGUCAUCGGACCGCCAAUGUGGACCAAAGGAUCCUUGACCCAAGGUUGAAGUUGUUGCGCACCCGUAUCCGCAUCAUUCCCUCUCUCCUCGAAAUGAUUCGUUCUCGAAGCUUCAAAGUCUCCUCUUGAAAGCGAUGUGUCCACAAAUCGACGGUGCGCUUAAAGGACAGCAAUGUUGGAAAUAGAUGAGUGACUACGAGCCAUGUUGCAUGUCGUUUGGUCAGCUUCGGGAAGCUCUCAAACAAGGACAUGCGCCAAGGUAGGAAAGAGCUUGUGUAAGGCGUGUGAAAAUCCCAAGUGGCAAUCCAAAACUCUCUAAUUAGCCUUUGGUCAUGGAUCUUCACAUUGACAACUUGAUUGUGCAAAGGUGUAAAAUCCAGCACUAGUUGACAUUGAUUUGAAUCAUCUUGCAUGGAUAAAAUGGGAGCAACUUGUUGCAUGGAUGAGGCACUAAACAACUCGUGGAGGACAGUUUUGGGAUCUUGCGUGACACACAAUUUCUCAUCUUCCAACAUAUAAGGUAGCAAAUAAUUGAAUUCCACUUCAUGAGGGUUACUCGAACUAGCACAAGUUGAAAUUGACAAAUUGAGCACUUGGCCACCAGCUUUUGGCAGUGUGAAUAAGCAUGAAAGAUCACCACCUUUAGUUGAAAUAAGCACGAAAUCAGGUUGUAGUCUUUAAUCAAAACUGGAAAAUUUUGGACAACUUUACAGCCUACAAAAACAAAAUAACCUUCAAUUUGAAACAAAUUUGAAAUUGGGUAAAGAAGUAAUGGUACAUCAUCAACUAAAUGGUAAGAAGGUAUAGAACAAGUUUUAAGUGUGAAAACUCCCUUUGCCACUUCAUUAUUCCUUCCACCAAUUGAUUCAACUUGAGAAGGCAUUGCUAGCCUUUUACACUUUCCUUCAAAAUCUGCAUGAGAAAUAUAAGUGUUAGGAUGAAAAUUAUACUCAAAAGAAGGUAAAGAUGAUGAAUGAACCAUAGGUAGCAAAUGAGAGUCAAAAUUUGAAAUUCUCCCUUCAUGGUGGGUUUGACUUGAUUCCCCUUUGGUAUGGACAGAUUUGAAUUGAAAUCGUUCCAUGAGAUGAUUCCAAAUAGAUUCAAUUCCUAAAAGACAAACUCCAUGGAAGCUAGUGAAUUGUACAAGUGACUUUGGAAUGGAGCAUGGCAUGACUAACUUCACUUGACUUUGCUUAAUUUGCACAAAUGAAGAAACACUAAAUAAAACAAAGGUAAGUUCAUUAGAAAAACAAUAAGCCCGCAUAUUUUUGCUCAAAAUCGGCUCACUUUCUCUUUUUUCUUCCUUUUUACCACUCAUCUCAUCAGAUUUUUCCAUCUCUUUAUCUAGCUUAACGCCAUCGAUUGUUUUCUCAUAAUCAACCUUCUCAACAAAUGGUUCAAUAGGAUGAGAUACUCCUUUGUUGGGAAUAGGAUCAGCUACCUCCUUCUCAGAAAACUCACUUUGAUAGCAUCCAUUUGACUCCAUUUAUUUUUGGUGUAGAAGACGUUGAUAUGUCUCCCAAAAUGACUCCUCAUGAGGUGGUUCAAUUCUUGGUUUAGGCCUAGAAAAUAUUGAAUGAACCUUCUUAUCACCUCUUGUAUAAACCGGCUUUAAAGAGGGAGAUUGCAUGGAACCCCUCCUCUUGAGAGAUUCAUUAUCUCGCUUGGGUUUAUGUUUGUGUUCCCUAGCUCCCCUUUGACUUUUCCUUGAUCGAAAUGAGGUGUUAGAAUGAUAUCCCUCAUCAUCUGCACCAUGAUCAGUACUCUGAACACUCGAAACCCUAUUAUGUGUAUCUCCGAUACCUUGCAUCUCAAUGGCAGCCAACCUGUCGAAUAAUUGUGUCAUCACAACUUCAUGUCUCUCCGCUUGUUUUCGAAGAGCUUAGAGCACCAGUUUGAGUGACAUGUCAGUCUCAGACGGCUCGGGUAUGUUCCCCUCUUGAGACAUAUUGUCAAACCUGCAAAACAAGUGUAUCCUAGUCUACCUUGCAAAGCACUCGUGUAUCACUCAAGAAAAACACACUCACUCUCAAUUUUCCUUCUCGAAAUUCUUAAAACAACUCAAACUCUCAAAAAUUUCAGAAUUAAUUGCCCUAUAAGCAAGUAAUAAGAUACAAAGCAGAGUUUUGCAAAUCUUAGAAAAAAACUCUACCCAAAGUUGGAACUUUUUGAGCUGUUGUUUUGCUGAGUUUCUAGUCAGUAUUUUGGAAGGUAAAUAGUGCUUUUGGGGUGCUCAAAUAAUGUAAGAACCAGUCCUCAAAUUGCAGUCAAAUCGGCCCGCAAAAACUAGCUCAACCGAUUUUAGAAAUUCAAGAAUUCAAAGGCGGUUUGGCUUAGGUGUUUGUGGUAGUUUAGGUUUGGUUUUGAAAACUGAUUUGGGUGUGUUUUGGGGCUGGUUAGGUCAUUUGGGGUUGUUGGAAUUCAAUCAAGAUUGGAAACUCAAGAUUUGGAAACCAAUCAAGAUUUGGAAACUAAUCAAGAUUUGGAAAAUCAAUCAAGAUUUGGAAACCUGAUUUCCUUUGUGUGAGAGCCGAUUCCUUCUCUUUCUUCCUUUUUUUUCGUUUCUUUUUUUGUUUUUUUUUUGUUUUUGCUUUGGCUCUUCAAGGAACACAAAUUCAGGUCACACCAACAAGUUCAAGAAACGGAUGAAAGGUUAUGGAAAUUUCAAGAAAAACCUAGUUCUUGAUUUAUUGUUCAAGAACUUUCAAAACAAGACUUAGUGGUCCAAGAACUUCAAGAAUUUUGUUCAAGAAACUCAAGAACUUCCCCAAAUUAUGUUGUGGUGUCUAGGGUUUACAAGAACAACAACCAAUACUCAAGAAAUAGGCAAAACAGAAUUUCAGCAAUACCCUAAAGAAAAUUCCAGCAACUUGGACACUAAAACAAUAUAAGGUACGUGACUUUUUUUUUUUUUUGUCUUUAAACCCUAACAACCCAAACACAAGUAUAAUAGACUCAAGAACAAAAUUUGGACAGAAAACACAAAAAGACAACACUCAAACAGAUUUUUUUUGUGUUCGGAUGAACAGUACCGCAGAUGAACAGUACGUGAACAGUAUCGCUACAGUUUUUUUUUUUUUUUUUUUGACAAAAGACACAAACUAACAAGAUAUGAAUAACUUCAAUUGAAAGAGAAUUAACCUGAUGCUCUUGAUACCAGCUGAUGAGCAAUCCUAGGGGAAGACCCUCCUAGAACCUCCCAACUUUGUAAUAUCAGAGUUGGACCUUUUCUCCCAAUAGAAAUUGAACUCGAUUGUUUUCAUGAACUCAAAACCUCUGACACACGAAGGUAAUCAGCAACUUUAAGCAAAUAAAGAUGGAUGAAGAGACACCACGAUUAGGAAACAAACUAAUCGAUAAAGUCUGAUUUGAAUCCUAAGCUAUGAACUCAAGAAUUUAGGAGUAAGUUCGAUUAAGAACUUGAAGAAAAAUUCCUCACGAUUUUCGGUUGUAAUAUUCCGUCCCUUUACUCGUACAAGAGGUGCCUUUUAUAGGCUAGAACUAGGGCAACUCACCUACCUAAACUAGGAAUAGGAAUUCGGCCCACAUAAAGACCCAGCUCUUUAUGGCUUUCCGAUAAGGCCCAAUAAUUAAUAAAAUCUACUAAAAGGAUUAAAACUAGAGAACAACAUGUCCUUUGUGCGAUUAACAAACUAGGCAGCUUUAAAACAACUACUAACUAACCUAACAAGUAUGAGAUCAUUCUUUUACUUCAAACGUACAAGUGAACAAGGUAAUUUCAUGGUCCAUCAAAUCUUCAAACUUAGCUUGCUCCUUGCUUGUAUGGUGAAUGAUCAAGGCUUGUAAAGCUUCCUUCACCCUCUUGGAUCUUGAUAUUGUCAUCGGACCGCCAAUGUGGACCAAAGGAUCCUUGACCCAAGGUUGAAGUUGUUGCGCACCCGUAUCCGCAUCAUUUCUCCUUUCUUUAGUCACCUUCCUUUCCUCAAUAUCUAGCCGCUUCCAAACGCACGAUUUUACCUACACUGAAAAAGGGAUAAUCAUACUCUCUUUCUUACUAAAUUGCUGCAAUUUCACAUGAGAAAGUAUCUCGAUAGUCCCAAACUCAUACCCCUUCUUGCCCCAGCCAUAACCUCAGUGGCCUUGGACUUAGACCCCUUCUCUGAUCCUCACUUCUUGCACUCAUUCCCAAACUUUUUUUCUAUCUUUUUCUUCUCCUCUGCAAUCUUUCCAAUGAAUUUUUGAUCCAUAAACUUUGCAGCAACGAUUAUUGCUUUCUUGUUAGCCAUCUGUACACUUUGCUUACCGUUUUAAAUCUUCAAAGCCAAAGGCUACUGAUUUCCAUCUCAAUUUCCUUAUCACACCUCCAUUCAACACGGCACUCCCUUCAUUCCUACUCUUAGAAACCAAUUAUUCUGCAAAACUCAACUUGUAGUUCUCCCUUCAUUCCUCCUCUUCGAAACCAAUUAUUCUGCAAAACUCAACUUGCAGUUCUCCCUUAAUUGACUUGAUUCCCAAGUUUUCAACCCCCCAUUUGGAUUAAGAACCUUAAGCGACUGGGACAUCUGAGACUUCAGAGAAGAUGCAGAGGAAAGUGGUUUUGUGAAAAUGAUGACUUUGAUUUUCAUUUUCUUUACUUGAAAUUGAUUCAACUGAAUCAGGUGGAUUCAACUUAUUUAUUUCACAUGGAAGGCAAGAAACUAAUUCUAUGUGGCAGGUGAUGAGAAAGGACUUUUCAUAUAACCUAAUGUCAUCCGAAUGUAGGUUGAGCAAGCGAAGGAAGAACUGCUUCCUGGAGAAGGGUCUUCGAUGAGGGAAGAAAAGCUUAUUAGAUGGGAGAGGCCCUAAGGAAACUGGUACAAGAUGAAUGUGGAUGGGGCUGCAAGGCAAAGAUUAGGAAUAGUAGGAGCAGGGGGAUUUUGGCGAGAUAGCUGGGGAAGGUGGAUCUCUAGCUUCACAAUUAACAUAGGAGUAGCAGAUAAUAUAUAGUUGUUGAACACUGGGGCAUACUUAAAGUCAAUAGGAACCAAAGGACAACAACUGACAAGGCAGACUUCACCUUGAAAAUGAAGCACAAAAUAAGAGAGUAGAACUAAAAGAUUACCGGUAAGCUGAUACAGAGGUGUGCUGAGAAUUGCAUCACAUGAUAGGUAGGUUAUGAAUGUGAAUGUUUAGUUAUAUAUUAUUUCAAUAAAAAAAAUUUGGUCUCCAAAAUUUAUAAUUUUAAGCACAUUUAGAACAAUUGAUGGAACUUAACAUUGAUUAACAGUCAAAAUCAUUUUAGCAAUAAAAUCCUAUUUCAAUUUUUCCUAUACUACGACCUCCUAAUUUUUGUUCUGUAUAUCAAAUGUCUAUUAUUAUCCAAUUUUAACUUAUUUAACGAAGAUAUACUUUUUAGGUCAAAUGAUAAAUUGAUAAUGUUGUGCCUAUAUUAUUCUAUAUAGAGUACAUAGUGGUUAACAACACUAUGUUAUCUAAUUUGAAUUAUUUAUCUAUAGAACCAAAAAAGGAAAACAAUCAAAGUAUAUUUCAUAAAAAAAACUAUAGUAGGUCAACUACAUAUAACCAAGAGACAUUUAAAAUACUUUGAACUCGUGCUAAAUUGCUCUCGUAGUGGGGGCUAGGGGUGUGCAUCGAAUUCGAAUUCGGUAAUUUGGAAGUUUGAAUUCGGAAUUUUGGCAUAGGAAUUACCGACCGAUUUCGAUUUUGAAUUCACCAGUUCCGAUUUCGAUUUCGAUUCCGAAUUCGGAAACCUUUUUUGCCUUUUUAUUUCUUUUUUGUUAGAUGUAUUGUUAUAUAAUAUAAAUUUUAUAUUGCAUAUAUUAUAAAAAAUAUUAUUAUAUAUAAAUAUAUUAUAAAAGAUAUUAUUAUAUAUAAAUAUAUUAUAAAAGAUAUUAUUAUAUAUAUUAAUAUAGAUAUAAUAAAAUGAAAUUGAAAUAAAAAUUAUUAUUAUAUAUAUAAAUAAAUAAAUAUUAAUAUAUAUUAUAAAACGAAAUUGAAAUCAGAAAUUCCGAUUUCAAAAACUCCAUUACCGAAUUCGAACCAUAUUCGCAUAAUUCGAAAUCGAAAAUUCUGAUUUCAGUGCCGAAUUUCGAAUUACUGAUUUCGAAAAUUCCGAAUUCAAUUCGAAUUCAGUCAAUAAAUCGAAAAUUUUCAAUUUUGCACACCCCUAGUAGGGGCACAAUUUAUUUACUUUUCUGUCUAUUAAAUCCAAAGUUUCAAUGGAAAGUUUUAAAAUAGUUACUUUGCUAUUUGUUUACCUUAAUAUUUUAACACAACCCUCCCCCCCAGUUAUCUUAAGAAUUUUAUUGAAUGAUUCAAACAAUUAUACAAAAUAUUAAUUUCAUCUUAAAUUCAACUGAUAAUCUAUUAAAAUUGAAAAAAGAAAACAAAUCUGAUUUACUUAUAGUUCAUAUUCUUUAUAGUUUGAAUGGAUAUCUAAUUGAGUGUUUAAAUAUCAAUACAAGUAAAAAAAAAAAGAAUUCAUUAUCAAUUAAUUCUCCAUAAUGCAAAACCAUAUAUACAUAUAUUAUGCUACAUUUGGGACCAGUUAUGCAAGAGUAAAAGUCUAUGAGAAACAAGUGGGAUGUGACGGGUAUUUUACAUACGUGCAAGCUAAAAAAUACCGAAUUACACCCGUUCACUGCAAGUAUACAGAUCAACUAGUAGUUUAGGGUAUAUAUCGGGUCGAUCCCACAGGGAAGAGUGAACAAUUACCGGUAUUACUAAAGCUUCUCUAUUAUUUAGACUAUCAAUGAAUUAUAACAAAUUAAAAUCUACUGAAAUUAUACAAAAUAACAAAUGAAAGCUCCUUGGGUUGUGGUAUCCCUAACUACUCAUGCAAGUGCUAUAUUUGGAUCAUUAAUUACUACAUCUAGGCUAAUUAUGGUGUAAUUUCCUUAUGCAUUUGAAUCCUACUUUCGUAGUGAAUCAAUUAUACUUAUAACUAAUCCAUACCUAUUCUCAUGGUUAUGAAAUUAGCUACAAGUUCAUUUCUUCAGUGAAAUUACAUGAAAUGAAUCACUAAAAACCACAUAGGUGCACCUCUACUUUCGUGAGUGUACUCCCUAUGUUUAGCACUUCUUGAACCAAUGUUAAAUCUCAAUUUUCAUUGCAGAAACAACACCUUAGAUAAUCACAAUUAAUGGUACCAGAUUAAUCAUGAUUUAAAGAGCUAAAGUGCUAAAUAACUUGCUCAAAUCAUAGCAGUUAAAUAGCCAAAUGAUAAACACUAACAAUCAUAGAAAGUUCAACCAAACCCAAGGCAUAAACUUUAGAAACACAUAGUAGACAUAAAUUCCAGAACUUGCAUAUUAACUAUAUUUAAGAAUCCAAUACAAAAGAUAAAGAGUUGGAGAAGAGAUAACCCAUGUCACUUGAGCUUCAACUUCUCUUUCUUCAUCUCCAUUUUCAUCCUAAUCUAGCCAUUAUACAAGAAUGGAUGAACUACACUUACUACACUAUCCUACACUAAGGAAAUGGAAGAACUACAUUUCUGCACUCUUCAAGCUUCUCCCGUAUCUGUUUCCUAGACCUCAAAUGUCUCUGCAUAUAAGCUGAUGAAAAGUCCUUCCCUUACCAGUCAAAAAUUUCUGCUAUGAUUCUCCAAAUCUGAAUUUGUUAAGGGAGUCAAAAAUAAUGGCUUUUGAUUUGGAACUUUGGCUAUAUCUCUUCCUUAUGUCUUCUGAAGCAUGUGCAGCCUACGUUUUCUCUCCAACUCUAGCUGGAAAGUAGUGUGAAGAUGAGAAAAAUGGCUGAGCAAAUUACAGAAAUUCGGCUGCCAGACACGUUUUUACUUUUGACCUCACUUCAACUGCAUUUUUCUCCAUGAUGAAGGCCGAACUGGCUUUUGUGCAAAACACAAAAGUUGUAGCCCUUUGAAUUAGAGUUCCAAUGCUUCAAGAAUCAUCUAAUUUGGAGAUCGGUGGACGGAGAUAUGGUCAAAAUACCAUAGACUGGUCAAUUCUGGGCUUCAGCUUUCGACCAUCCAGAUAAGUUUUUGUGUUUCGACCUUUUGACCAAGAAAACGGCUGAAUUGGACUUUGAUGUCUUCAUACCAAAUGUAGAUAUAUCUCUUAGCUUCAAAAUGGUACCAAGAUCACCUUGAUCCGAUCAUUGUAGCUCCUGAUAUAGUCAAAAUACGAAAAUGUAUCUAAGUUGUCAAAGCUGACUUUUCUUGAUUUUGUCCUCAAAUUGCAUUUCUUCCUUUUACACUUCAUAUUUUAUUUUCCCCACUUUAAUCCAUCUUCAAUCAUCCAAAUAUCUUCUCAAUGCACUUCAUUGAUGAUUGAAUCAUUAAACCUACAAAAUAUGAAGUUUUUACCAUAAAAAUCCAUAAAAUGCAAUGUUUAGCCAUUUUAACAUAAAAUGUAGUUUUUUACCAAAACCUUAGUUAUUUUAGUUACAAAACUAAAUAAUCAAACCAAAAUUAACUAAUAAAACACACUAAAAAUACGUAAAAUAAACUCUUAUCAGGAUGAAUACACAAAAUAAAAAUAAUAAAAGAAAGAAGUUUCCAGAACUUUUGCACAUUUUCAACAUAGUUUCAAUCUAAUUUGCAUUUAUUUUCCUUUGAAAUCGUUAAUAUCACUAUUUAAAAUCAAAGAUACCAUGAUGAUCCAAAUUCGAAACAUUGCUAUAAAAAAUGCAAAGUCAAAACUAUUCAGUAGUGGCAACUUGACUUUGAUCUUUAAUCAUCAUUUUUUCGUCAAUUUACUAAAUAUGCUUAAGAUUUGAAACAUUGGGGACCAAAUUUGUAUUGAUCCAAGCAUUAAUGAUCAGUCCUACACAUAUGCAGAGUAUUAUAAACAGGAAUUGUAUUUCUUCCAAAUUUUGGAUAUAUGUUAUGUAAUGAUUUAAAUUACAACUUUUAAACUUAUUUUCUUCAUAAUGGUUGGUUAGUGGUGAUUUAGUUUUAAUAUUAUUGUGAUAUCAUUUUCUAAUAAAGUGGAGGUGAUUUGUCACUUAAUCAUAAAUUUUUAUCUCCUUUUGCCUAAAAAUAUGUUCAAGUUUGGGAGCACCAACUGUAAAAAGUUUUUAUGUUAUUUGAAAAAAAAUUAUUCAUUCAUUAGUAAAUUCGGGCAUGUCAUCUUGUAUUAUAUUAUCCAUGAAAAUAUAUGGAAUACUUUUAUUGUGAAGAUUGUUUGUUGUCCUACUUUUAGAAUAGACAAUGAGCAGUUAUAUUUUUGUAUUUACACCUAUUAAAAAUAUUUCUUAACUGUAUCACUACAUAGUUUAAUCAAUACGAAUAUUUGAUUUCAAGCACGUAUACAUUAGUACAAAUACCAUUAGUAUUACUAGUGAUAAAGGGCGCACUCAAUCUAUGUAUAAUUUAAACAAUCACUUUUUAUAUGGAAGAAAUUGGUAUAAAAUUUUAAUAAACAAAAAACUUUGAUCUUUUAAAAGUUUUUUUAAUAUUAUUUUAAUGAAUUUGGUAAUUAUAAUGUUUGUGGUUGGUUAUUGGUUAAAGUUAGUUGUGGUAUUGCUUGACAAUACAUAGGCAACAUGUUAAUCAGAUGAUAAAAGUAUAAUUAAGUGAUGGAUUAAUCUUUCCUACACUGACAGUGUAUACACUAUCAGCGUUGGAUAAAUUACAAAUAUGCAAAAUUUGAAUUUAAAAUUCAACUUUUGCAUAUAUGUCAUCGAUUCAAUGGUAAUAGUGUAUACAUUGUCAGUGUAUACAACACUUGCUCGUAAGUGAUUGUGAUGAUAAUGCUAAAAAUUUAAAAGUGACAAAUAUGGUCUAAUUAAAUUUCACCUAUACGCACUGCGGUUAUUAUUCAUCAAUUCAUUCUCAUUAAUUUGGUCUAAUACCAUUACAAUUGCAUUUUUAAAACAUUUCUUUAUGUUCUACCCGCAAAUAUAAAAAACAAUCAUGCAACAACAUAUUACUUCUGCUACAAAUAUUCCAUCUCAACUAAUUAAUUAACCAUACGUUUACUCCUUUACAGUUAUUAAUUCCUAUGAUUGGUUCAAUUAAUUGUACAUAUUAAUUUACGAUCAUUUUCCUCCUACCCAUGAUUGGUUUAAUUCUCCUCGUUAAUUGCUUCAACCAUUAACAAGUUGCUUUUUAACUUCCCCAACUCUGCCCGUCAAAACAAAAGCUCUACACUUUCAGUUCUCUCAAUCAUCUUUAUGUCCAUUCAAUCUGGGUCCCAUAACCCUGUCACAACAGCACCUCGUUCCUCUCAAUCUGUAUUAAGCCUUAUGUCUCCCGGUAAAAUUUACCACUCAUGUGCCUGAUCUAAACCGCUUUGACGUCAGUAAUUGUAAUCGUGUCUUACAUUCACGUGAUCCGUACCCCUUACCAACGGAUUGGUACAAACCACUAUACCAUUUUUGUAGAAUUUUUGGUGAUUUUAUAGAGGAUUUUGUUUCCUUAUUCUGCUAGGAUAUGAAGAUGAAAUCAUGAACAAGAAAUCCUAAUUUGAAUUUGACUUGGAAAUUGCGGAAAUUAACCCAUACAAGAAAUAUGCCCGUACUUUCAAGUAUCACCGUAACAAGGAAGGGUAUCCUAAGUAUAUAAUUCAGAAACAGAUUAACCCAGAAAAAAAAGAACAAAGAAUAAAAGUAGGAUACUGAACCCAACUAUAUAUCAAUAAAAAUCUUACAAAUUUUAAUUUAUUUUCCAAAUCAAAUACAAAUUAGGACUUGUUAUUUACUGUGGUAUCUUCAAAUCCUACCAGAAUAAGGGAAAAAUGUGCAAAAGUUUCCACAAGUAUAAAUAUCCCGUCAUCCUUCUGUCCAAGUAAGUACUAAGUACCAACUGCAAUUGAGCUCUUGCAACAGAUAACAAGAUCAUGUUAUAACUAAGUCUCUUCCAAAUCUUACCCACAUUAUAUAAACAUGACACGCUUAAUUGUGCGUCUACUUUCUUGCCUAGUGUCAAAGUUGAAGAAUUUGACUAAUGCAUGGGAAAGGAUGCACACGGCCUUGGCCGAUAUUGUAUUGGAGUAUGAAUUUGAAAAGCUUCAAGAAGACGACAAAGUUUGGAUCGUCGAUUCAGGUGCAUCAUGUCAUGUGGUUAGGAACAAAAAUCUGCUUCAUAAACCUAUUCCAUUACUUCCAGUAUGUGGAUAGGGAUUUUGUGGAGAGACACGGUCACGAUCAACUCACAUUGGGCAUGCUUAUUUGCCCGUCAAGAUGAAUCCAGCAAAGGCUAUGAGGUUGAGGAAAGUUAUCCGUGAUGAAUACGUAGGUAAUCUUCUAUCUGUUUCUCAAUUGACCGCCGACUUUCCAAUGUUGUCUUUCGAGUUCUACUCGACAGGGUUCUUGUUGAAGAAUGUCAAGACAAAGAAAGUAUUGGUUGAAGGCCCUCAAAUUGGACAUAUGUAUUUUUGGUUGAGUCCUAAAAUAGAUGCUUGGAUGGCUAGAGCUAAUGGUAGUCGUCUUGUCAAUUUGAUGAUCAAACCAAGCGUUAUAUUCACGGCACUUUGGAAACUCAUGAUUAACCAUUAUCUUGGGAGUUUAGUGGCGUUAUUGAUGUACAAGAUGCAGAUUAAUGCUUUGUGGGAUCUUAUUUUUUGCUGUAAUAAUAAUCUACAGCGCGAAAAUCACAGAUUCGUGGCUUGUUGAUUCUAGUGCUACAAGUCAUUGUUCAUUUGAUCAAACUCUACUUCGAAAUUCCACUAAAGUCGGUGUAAAGAACUUGGAAUCUGCAUUGGACUGUGGUGGGAGAAGAGCAGCUAUAACUCAUAUUGGAAAUGUUUACUUGCCGACUCAAUGGCCUGGUAGGGAGUUUUUGAUACAUGGGGUGAAACUGGUACCAAAAUCUAUUGUACAUAUCCUUUCUGUCUCUGCAAUGACUUCACAAUUCUGCUGCUGCUUCAAGUUUGGAUCAAAUUGUUGACUUAUUGGCUCAAUAGCCACAAUUGUCAAUUGUGCAAAGCUACAAUUGUUGACAAUUGUGCACAAACUCUACAUCCCACAUCGUUAGUUUUGUUAGAAAUUCUCUCAUUUGUAAACUAUAAAUAGAAGGAUCCUUUGAUAGGAUAAAAUAUACCAAGCAAGAGAAUUAUAACUUGUUUUCUUCUCUCUCUUUGUAAUAUUUUUUCUAGUGAAAUAUUACGUUGUCAAUGGUGUCCGAGGACGUAGACAAAUUAGUCGAAUCUCGUUAAAUUAUGGUGUUCUAUUUUAUUGUCUAUUUAGUAACUAUAUUUGUAGGUAUAUUUGUAGUGAGUUAUUGUACAAUUAAUUGCAUAUAUAGGUGAUUUUGUCUAGGAAAUUGGUACUUAAGCAGGCUAGUGUGCCUCACCAAAUAUUUCUUGGGAAUUAUCAUUUUAUAAUUUUAGGUACAAUAAUUUACUCAUUAUACCUUAAUUUGGUAGAACUUUCGCAACAAUUGGUAUCAGAGUUCAAGGUUUCUUAGUAUGCUCCGUGGUUGCAGCAUAGUCUGAUCUUCCACAUCAAAAAAGAUUUCUUGGGAUUUUGUUAUUCUAUAUUUAGGAGCUACUAAAUAUAAUUUGUCGAAAUGGCCGAAAAUAGAUUUUCAUCUAUAAUGCAAGCAUCGACAAGCUCGUCGUCGUCUAUUAUGGCGAGAAAUACUAUGAUGAAUGCAAAAUUAAAUGUGGAGACAUUUGAUGGUACUAGUCAUUUCGGUAUGUGGCAAAGUGAGAUUCUAGACGCACUCUUUAAGCAAGAUCUAGAUAUUACCAUCAAAAAAGAGAAACCAGAAGGUAUUGAAGAGAAGGAAUGGAGGACGCUAAAUCGUUUAGCGUAUGGUACAAUUCAAUCGUGUCUUUCAAGAGAACAGAAAUAUGUGUUCUCAAAAGAAACUUCUGCAAAUAAAUUGUGGACUGGAUUGGAGGAGAAAUUCUUGAAGAAAAAUUAUCAGAACAGGCUCAAUAUGAAGAAGCGUUUAUUUCGCUUCACUUAUGUUCCCAGCACAACUCUAAGUGAUCACAAUACUAAUUUCAAUCAGUUAAUCACUGAUAUGAUGAAUUUAGAUGUGACAUUUGAAGAUGAAAAUUUGGCUCUCAUGUUGUUGGGAUCUCUUCCUGAGAAGUUUGAGCAUCUUGAAACAACUCUACUGCAUGGGAAAGCUGAGGUGUCCCUCAGUGAAGUUAGCUCUGUCCUGUACAACUACGAGCUCAAAAGAAAAGACAAGCAAAGUAGCAGAGAUGAAGCAGCAGAAGCUCUGGUAAUUAGAGGACGCUCACAAAAUCAGAGAAAGGGGGUGAGAGAUAGAUCCAAGUCGAGAGCUAAACUAAGCAAAGAUGAGCGUGCUUUUUGCAGAGAAAAAGGGCACUGGAAAAAGCACUGCCCAAAACUGAAGAGUAGACCUGACAAAGAAAAAGCUGUUGUGAAUUCAAAUGUAACUGAGUGCAUUGAUCAAGACUCAGACUUUUCAUUAGCUGUCAUGUCUACUGGUCAUUUUAGUACAUGGCUAUUGGACUCAGGUUGUAAUCAUCAUAUGACGUCCAAUAGGGAAUGGUUCUUUGAUUUCAAGGAAUAAGAAGGUGGAGUCGUCUACACGGCAGAUGAGACCACAUUAGCAACAAAUGUGGUUGGUUCAAUUCGGCUGAGGAAUCAGGAUGGAUCAAUUAGGAUUCUAACUGAUGUCCGAUAUGUGCCAGAAUUGAAAAAGAACCUCAUUUCUGUGAGAGUACUAGAAUCAAUGGGUUACAAGAUGUCGGCAUAUAAUGAAGUGAUGAAAAUCAUUUCAAGUGCAUUGGUGCUGGUGAAAGGAAUCCGAAAAAAUAAUAACUUGUAUUACUAUCAAGGUAAUGCAAUCGUUGGAGUAGCGGCAGUGGCUUCCAAUGAUGAUCGAGAAUUGAAAAUAACCAGAUUAUGGCAUAUGCGCUUAGGGCAUGCCCGAGAAAAAUCCUUGAAUCUUCUGAUGAAUCAAGGAUUAUUGAAAGGAGCCAGUGUUUGUAAGUUAGAUUUUUGCGAGCAUUGUGUCAAAGGGAAGCAGACAAGGGUAAAAUUUGGCACUACAAUUUACGAUACCAAGGGUAUUUUGGAUUAUAUACACUCUGAUGUGUGGGGACCUUCCAAAACAACUUCUCUGGGAGGCAAAAAUUAUUUUGUUACCUUUGUCGAUGACUUCUCUCGAAGAGUAUGGGUAUAUACUAUGAAGGCGAAAAGUGAAGUAUUGAAAAUUUUCAUCAAGUGAAAAAAGAUGGUGGAAACUCAAACAAAAAGAAAGAUCAAACGCCUUCGAACAGACAACGGAGGUGAAUACACUAGUGAUCCGUUCAUGGAGGUUUGUGAGAAUGAAGGCAUUGUUCGGCACUUCACAGUCAGGGAUACACCACAACAGAAUGGGGUGGCAGAGCGUAUGAACCGGACAUUGGUGGAGAAAGUUCGGUGUAUGUUGUCUAAUGCUGGGUUAGGCAGACAAUUUUGGACUGAAACUUUAGCAUAUGCAAAUCACCUCGUCAAUCGCUUACCAUGAACUGCUAUUGGCGGAAAAAUUUCAUUAGAGAAAUGAUCGGGAAAACCUGCUACAGAUUAUAAUUCCUUACGUGUGUUUGGUUCUACUGCAUAUUAUCAUAUUAAAGAAUCAAAGUUGGAUCCAAGGACGAAAAAGACGCUCUUUAUGGGGAUCACGGCAGGCAUUAAAGGUUAUCACCUUUGGUGUCCCGAGACGAAGAAAAUAGUUUUCAGCAGGGAUGUCACCUUUGAUGAAUCUACCAUGUUAACAAAGGUUGAUGUACAGCAGAAUGAUGGUACUCCAUAACAGGUGGAGAGCACUCCGAAGCAGGUGGAGUUUGAAAGAAGCAUUAUCAGACCAGCGGUGGAUAUAGGAGCAGAUGAAAUGACUCCUAUGAUAGAAAAAGAAUCAACUGAAGAAGAUGUUCUAAUUGAAGAAUCUUCACAGCAACUUGAAUCAAUUGCAUUGAGUAAGCCAAAGAGAAAUAUUAAAGUACCUGUUCGGUAUGUUAAUAUGGUGGCAAAUGUAUCUACAAUUGCAAUAGAUGAAAUUCCUAUCACUUAUCUUGAAACUGUCCAAAGUUCAGAGAAAGAAAAAUGGAGGACAGCCAUGGAAGAAGAAAUGCAGUCCUUUUAUAAGAAUCAAACUUGGCAACUUGUCAAUUUGUCAAAGGGAAAGAAGGUAAUUGAGUGCAAGUGGAUAUAUGUAAAGAAGGAAGGAUUUCCUGACAAGUCUGGUGUUCGCUACAAAGUAAGAUUGAUGGCUAAAGGCUACGCUCAGAAUGAGAGAAUUGAUUACAACGAAGUGUUUUCUCCAGUCGUGAAACAUUCCUCCAUCAGAAUUUUAUUGGCUUUGGUAGCAUAAUUGGAUCUGGAACUUGUCCAAUUAGAUGUAAAAACUGCGUUUUUACAUGGUGACUUGGAAGAGGAAAUCUACAUGACUCAACCAGAAGGAUUCAAAGUUGCUGGUAAAGAAAAGAUGGUAUGCAAACUUGACAAAUCGUUGUAUAGAUUGAAAUAGUCUCCAAGGCAAUGGUACAAGCGAUUUGACAAUUUUAUGAUGGGGCAGAAGUACACAAGAAGCAAAUAUGAUGACUGUGUAUAUUUGCGCAAGCUACGAGAUGGAUCCUACAUAUAUCUUCUUCUUUAUGUUGAUGAUAUUUUGAUAGCUUCCAAGGAUCAAAGUGAGAUUGAAAAAUUGAAAUCUCAUUUGAGUCGGGAGUUUGAAAUGAAGGAUCUCGACGAAAUCAAGAAGAUUCUCGGCAUGGAGAUAAGCAGAGAUAGAAGAUUGGGGAGACUUUAUUUGACUCAAAAAGAGUAUCUUAGUAAGGUAUUAAAGAGGUUUGGCAUGAAUGAAAAGACCAAAUCUGUUAGUACUCCACUUGCUCCUCAUUUCAAGCUCAGUGCAUCUUUAUCUCCAAAAAAUGAUGCAGAACGAGAAUAUAUGGCAAAAGUACCAUAUGCAAAUGUGGUAGGUAGUUUGAUGUAUGCUAUGGUGUGUACAAGACCCGACAUUUCACAAUCAGUUGAAGUUGUGAGUAGGUACAUGCAUGAUCCCGGUAAGGAGCAUUGGCAGGCUGUAAAAUGGAUUUUACGAUACAUUUUGAACACCGUAAAUGUUGGAUUAGUAUUUGAGUGGGAUGAAAAGAUUGGUCAAGGCGCAGUUGGAUAUUGUGAUUCCAACUACGCAGAUGAUCAAGAUACACGUCGAUCAACGACUGGGUAUGUGUUUACACUUGUUAAGGCACCAGUCAAUUGGAGGUCGACCUUGCAGUCAACGAUUGCUUUGUCUACUACAGAGGCGGAGUAUAUGGCAGUUACGGAGGCUGUUAAGGAAGCAAUUGGGCUUCAUAGGUAGCUUGAUGAAUUGGGAAUUGGACAGAAGUCUAUCAAAGUUCAUUGUGAUAGUCAGAGUGCUAUUCAUUUAGCAAAGAACCAGGUUUAUCAUGCAAGAACGAAACAUAUCAACGUACGGUAUCAUUUUGUGAGGAAGAUUUUGGAAGAUAAUGCGACACUACUUCAAAGGAUUCAGACCAAGGAGAAUCCUGUUGAUAUGCUUAUGAAGGUUGUGACAACUAUCAAAUUCCAACAUUGUUUAAAUUUGAUAAAUAUUGUGCACAACUUGAAGAUUGGUACUUGACAGCGCAUUUGAAGACACCACCGAAUGUUGGGAGAAGAGUGAAGCAUUGAAGAUGUAGAGAUUUUGCCAAGGUGGAGAUUUGUUGACUUAUUGGCUCAAUAGCCACAAUUGUCAAUUGUGCAAAGUUACAAUUGUUGACAAUUGUGCACAAACUCUACAUCCCACAUCGUUAGUUUUGUUAGGAAUUCUCUAAUUUGUAAACUAUAAAUAGAAGGAUCCUUUGAUAGGAUAAAAUAUACCAAGCAAGAAAAUUAUAACUUGUUUCCUUCUCUCUCUUUGUAAUAUUUUUUCUAGUGAAAUAUUAAAUUAUCAGUGGUGUCCGAGGACGUAGGCAAAUUAGCCGAAUUUUGUUAAAUUCUGGUGUUCUAUUUUAUUAUCUAUUUAGUAGCUAUAUUUGUAGAUAUAUUUGUAGUGAAUUAUUGUGCAAUUAAUUGCAUAUAUAGGUGAUUCUGUCUAGAAAAUUGGUACUUAAACAGACCAGUGUGCCUCACCAAAUAUUUCCUGGGAAUUACCAUUUUGCAGUUUUAGCUACAAUAAUUUACUCGUUAUACCUUAAUUUGGUAGAGCUUCCGCAGCACAAAUGGCUUUGUAAUGAAGAGUCUUGAUACAAAUAAAGUAAUGGCGAAAGGUGAAAAGCCGGACAAACAGUAUUACUGGGGGAAAUAACGCUAUUGAUUUUCGAAGGGAUACAAAGCCAGUGGAAAAGAACUAAAAGGGAUGAACAAGACUGAUCAGAGGAAGACUAAUUAAAUAGGCUCUCAUCAUAUAUCAUGUGUCCUGCUGAUAUGUAUAAAUCAUGGCCUGAAUUUGUCUCCCCUUGAUCUGAAAAAUGAGCUCUAUUUGUGUUUAGUAGCUAACAAUCGUUGCUGAGUCUUUAAUUUGUGACAUCUGUAGUUGUAUGCCAUUGUGCUUCAUCAAUAUAUAAAUCAAUACUGUAAUCCCAUUAGUCCUUAAUUAAUCUCUCUCUGUUUUUUCUUUAAGAAAGCGAGUAAAAUAUGUACAAUUUAAAAAAAACAAUUGGGACUCACCCACGUUAUCAACUAAGAGAAAGGGAGAUAAUUCGACAAGGAGAUGAUUACAGACAAUCAUAUUUUAAUGGGAUUUAAUUCCUAAAUUUGCAAAAAAAUUUGUACACAUAUUUCCUUCUCCAGUAUAUUGAAUAAUAGUUCCAUUUCCUUGGUUUGGUGGGAUUUCACAUUAAGAGUUCAUUAUGUUCACUGCCACUUUCCAAUCAGGCUCAACAAUUAGCUUUAUUAAGCUUCUUUCCCUAAUAAUUCGAAGAACAACUCAUAUGCUCCGUAUGUUAUACAUAGUUCUGCAACAAAGCUCAUUGCUAAUCCAAUCUUCCCAUGAAAUCCAUCUAACUAUUUAGCCUUGAUCAUUCCUAAAAAUUCCUCACAAGCGAAUUGGAUUUGGGUUUCCUGCUGUUAUUCCAUCCAUGUUUAAAUUCAUAUAACCAUGUAUGUACAUAGAAUAACAUACAAGCUUCUUGAGUGAUAUGGAUUGCUGUUGCCAACAAAUAACAUACAUUAUUCUUCUAGGAUAUGUAUGGAUUGCGGCAAUGAUGUGAUUUUUGCUCAAAUUUUAUCUACGCCCUGCAAGGUUAAUACUCGUUUUUUUAAAAAAAAAAAAAAAAAAAUUGCACCUAAAAUUUGGUGGAGAAAGUGAUGAAUUUGAAUUUUGUAUUGGAACACACAACGAUAUAUGAACUUUAAAACCUAAAUCUUGAUUUAUUUCAAUUGCAUAAAUUUAUACCUUCUAGGAUAUGGAUUGUGGCAAGCAACGAUAUGAUUUUUGCUCAAUUUUUAUUUAUGCCCUGCAAGGACAAAAAUUUUUUUUUUAAAAUUUUUUGCUCCUAAAAUUUGGAUGAUAGAGUGAUAAAAUUGAAUUUGACUUUUGCAUUGGAACACACAACAAAAUAUGAACUUUAAAACCAAAAUCUUGAUUAAUUUCAAUUGCAUGGAUUUAAUACCUCAAAUCCAUUAAUGUUUGGAUUUGUGGUCUUGCCACAUAAGUCAAGCUAGAGGUUACUCCAAAAAUAAAAUAAGGGCAUGCCACAUAAGUCAAGUUAGAGGUUACUGGAUGCUAAUUUGAGGACGCACCAAACACCUAUUUUUAUAUGGCCACCAAAUUCUUCGCUCUCGGUUACUUCUGUUUUGUUCCAAAAAUUUGGAAGCUUUUAUUGGACAAGUAAUAGUAAUUGUUAAACUUAAUACCUGUUGCUAUUAUUUUGUCAUCCUCAAGACUCUUCAAAGCAAAGCCGCUUGAGAAAAACUUAACACUACAAGAGUUCUUAGAAGUCAAUGCAGCUACUGAAAUAAGAUUGUCCUUGGCUCCUUCAACAAUCUGAACAGAAUGUAGCAUCAUACCGUGAUUUGGACCCCCUAAGUAAGUGUUUCCAACAUGAGUUGCUGCAUGCGUUCUUCCUACAAGAUCACCCCAAUAAACUUUCACUGCAGAAGGGCAGUGAUCUUCAAGUAAAGCCACAUUGCUGGCAAUGUGAAUGGGAGAACCAGAAUCAAGAAUCCACAAACCGUCGCAAUUUUCACCCUUACAGGGAUUAGUCCUGGUGUAAACAAGUUUAGCGAAUCCAUCAGCACAAAGAGCUACUGAAUUACUCAAAUUUCCCCAGAAAACGUUACGAAGUGCAGUCAUUAAGCUUCUAACCGUGAUUUUUAUAUCAGGUUUAGGCCGGUGUCGAUGAAAGACAUCAUUAGGCCUUGGCCAAAAAUAGUAAUUUCCAAAUUUCUUGCCCCAUGCUAGCAAUUCAUUUGUCAUGAAAUUCUUCACAAAAAAUCCACUGGAGUUGAACUCAACCAUCAAGGUUGGAGAGUCAGUUGUCAAUCUCGAAACAGAAAUUACAUUAUAAGCCAAAUCUGGAAUGUGUAAAACACCAUCCAGGCUAAUAGUUUCGUUGGUUGGACUAAUAACAGACAAGCAAGCAUCUCCAACAUGUUUUGCUGCUGAAAUUUCUCCAAAGAACCCAUCAAAGUAGGUUUUGCAUGGGACGAUGUUUUGAAGUAAAUUUGCGUCUUUUACACCGUGGAAUGUUGCACCUGAGUCGAUUAUCCAAGUGGGCUCAUCGUUAUCAUCAUCAACUUCGUUAAAAUCAGAAUUGUUGGCAACAAAAUUGACCAAGGCAUUCUGCAAAUUUUGCCAAAUAUGGUGUGGUUUUUCAGCCAAUUCGUUGAAGGGAUUGAUCAUACUCCAAUGGGCUGGGCAGUUGCCAGCUGACCGUUCUUCUUCGCUACCCACUAAAUGGUGAAAGCAGUCAUGAUCCGACUAUCUACCAAUUCUAAUUUUGCGACAUUCUCAGUAUAUAUGGAAGAUCUAAACACGGCCUUGAUUAAGGUGCAUGCUAUAAUAUUUGCUUUUUGGGCAGAAAAAACUAAAAAGAAAAAGAACUAAAAUGGAUUAAUACUACUAGUUUUCCGAGUACUAGCAGGAAUAAGUGUUUGAUGGGCUUGUACUAGGAGGUAAAAACUUUCUAAUUAGAGUUGGGUUAGGAGAUUAGUAGAUCAGGAUAUCUAUACCUGUCCUACUACUAAAUGGAUUAGGAAAUUUCAGAUUACAGUUUUUUUGGUCUAAUGAAAAACUCCAAACCUUAUAAGUGGAAAAGGGGAAGCUUUGUGAGUGGAAACAAGAACUUCAAUUGGCUAAUGUUCCUAUCAAUCUUGAAGACAAAAUUAAAUGAGCUAAAAAUGGAUAAAUAAAAUCUCCAAUGCUCGUUGAGCAAGUAAUAUGGUCACUUACCCUCUACAAAAAUCAUCCGUUUUCUUCUUUUAUUUCUUUUAAUGUUUAAAUUCAGCAAUCACUAUACUGACGAAGGAUAUCGUAAUACAUGAGCCAAUUAAAGGUAGACACAUUUUAUUGAGGCCACCGAAUGGUAUUGGAUCUAUUUGAUCAUAUUAAUUUUUCUACUGGGGGAAACUAUGAUUUUAGGAAUUGCAAGGGCGACCCAUCUUUUUUUUUUUUCCCUUUCCAUCGCUCACCACACCUUCUCAUUUUUUAAUGUCAAGCCCUGAAUUCGAAUCCUAAACCUUUCCCAUCUCUAAUUGUCCAACACAAGAUUCGAUCUUAAACCCGACAGCAGAAAAGACUUUAAAAGCUUUUCCCUAACUAUUAGAAUGGGUCUAAUUAAUGGAUGAUAUGCAAUCAAUAGUUAUUACCAUGCAACAUUAUGUAUGCUCGAAGCACUUAAUAUUUCCAUAAAAAUAACAAUAUUGAUGAAUAGUUGUUUUUUAGGAAAAAUGCUUAGUGAUUGUUGUUUGUAAAAUUAAUGGGGUAAAUAUGCACGAAGGGAAAUUAUAUAUAAACAAUAACUAUACAUCCCCUAGACUUUUAAUGGGCCAAGUAAACCUUGGGGUGCCUGCCUCAGCCCCAAAAAAAAAAAUUAUCACAUUAUUAUAAAAUUCAUCCUUCUGAGUGAAAGACUGACUAUCUUGAAAAUUAAAUACCUGAAAUUCUAACACUGCAGCUUUUCUAACAAGUGAAGAUUUUUUCAAAAAAUUAAAAUAAAGAUGUGUCUGUCAAAUUUAUUUCUAUUUGUAUCAUUCACCAGCUGAUCUUAAUGUGUUAUCCUCUUUUAAAAAGCAAAAAUCCCGACCUUGCCAUGGAAAUAUUCAAAUAAGCAUCUAAUGACAAGAAUUUUAGCAAGAAAGGAUGAACUAGAAAUUAACCCCAAUAAAAUAAGGGUUAUUAUCACUUUACCCUCUUAAACUAUAUCAUUGCCAUCAAUUCACCCCCUAACGCUCUGUUUUAGUCACUUUGCCUCCAUAGGUAAUUUAAUUCAACAUGUUAACAAAUUUUGAACAAAAAUACCCUUUUAGCAUUAUUAUAUUGUUAUUAUCAUUUUAUCUAUUUAAAUUACAGUGAUACAAUCUCUUUACUCCCUAACAUUAUUUCCUAGGCAUUUUACCCCGUUGUUAACCUAACUAGUAUGUUUAAAAUUUUUUAAUGGAUUUACCCUUUUUGCUAUAUAAUUAAAAGUAAAAAAAGCUGGAAUGGUUAUUCUUUCCUUUUUUUUGUCACUCUAAGAGUUCGAAAAAUAUAAAAAUAAGAGUUUUCACAAAUUUCUUUUUUUUACUCUUAUUGAUACUAGGAAAAGAAAAAAAAAAGGAGAGGGAGAUAGAAAAUUAGAUUUUGCAAAGAAAGAAAAUAAGGAGGAAUUUAAUAUUAUCAUAUUACUUUAACAUCAUCAGGAUUAGGAUUGGAAUUGGGUAAUAAAACAGAAAAAUAAAAUACUUUUAAAAUAAUAAAAAUAUUGAAUUCUUUCUUAUUUGUAUUUUUAAAAAAAAAAAAAGAAUUGAGCUCUCUCUCUCCCUCAUCUACCUUUCUUUUUUUUUUAAUAUUAAUAAGAUUUCCAAGAAGAAAGAGAUUAACGAUUUGACUUUUUUUCUUGAUAUUAAAAAGGAGAAGAGCCACUCUAAGUUUUUUUAUUAUUUUUAUUAUACAAAGAGAAGAGGGUACUUUUUUCUAAUGUAUUUGAACUUGCUAAAUUGGUUUAAUGGUGAAAUAAAUUGUCUAAAGAAUCUCUAGGGGUAAAUUGAUAAUAAGGCUAUAGUUUAUGAGAGUAAAGUGAUAAUAAUUUUAAGAACUAAACAUGUCUUUUCACUUGAAUUAACAAAUUCAUAGUUUUGGAAGUAAAGUGACUAAAAAUAACAUUAAAUAAGAAAUUGAUGCUGACAUCAAAUAUUAAGGGGGUAAAGUGAUAAUAAUCCAAAAAAUAAAGCUUUACACCUUCCACACAAAAAAAAUACAUGGACUCAGGGACUGAUGGUGCAAGAUAAGAGUAUAAUUUGGCCGGGAAUUCCUUUGCCAGAAAGAACCCAAGAAAAGCUUAGAGGCCAGAACCCGUCACCCAAAUUUUCACAAUAUAGUUUUGACAAUCAAUUUUAGAUUCGGGAAGGUGCUUAAAAGUCAUUUGAAUUUUUACAGAUCAAUUUUCCCUUUUAUUUCAGCCAUUCGGACUCUUUCUUUCUUUUUUUUUUCAUCCACCGAAAACCCAUUGGAUUUGGAUUCAGGUACUCCAUUUUUUCAAUUAUAUAUUAUGCAUGCUGCAUGGCCAAUUUCACUUAUACCCAAGCAUAAUUAUUUGGUGAUGAAGGCAGAAUUAGAGGGUAUCCCAAGUUUAUUGACCUAUUCUAUUUCUUGAUUCUUGUCCAGAAGGUUGUGCAUAGAGGCGGGCUAGUAGAACUUUGCUCCAGUUUUUUAACCAUAAAUUCGCUUUUCCCUUGUCAUAAUCUUGAAUUAUACUUCCCAUCUCAGAUGAAUAACAAGAUUUGGAAUCGAUUAGCCGAAAGUUACUACCAGUACUGGAAAAUCAAGAUCACCUCAUUGUACAAAGCGAGUCGAAAUUCCGAGAUGUCCGAGGAUGACUGCACAAAAGUAAAGGUAGAUUCAGUCGAUGGUAGUAGUACCACAACUAGCCAUGGAAUCAUGCUGCAUGGUUUGGAACUAAUUCAAAAAUCUAAAACCAAUCUACAUGCAGUUGUUCCAUUGACUUCAGAAUUGGCUUCUUGUAUCAAUUCUGAAGUAAGUGACUAUGUAUCGAAGAUUCUUAGCAGAAUUGACGUAAAAGUUAAAGGUACAAAGCUGAACAAUGCUAUGAAUUGGUCGAAAAAGAGGGUCCGUUUUCAGAGGAAUGAAAAAGUAGUCAAGGGGCUCGAGAGAAGAUAUAAGAAGAAGCAUAACAGGAAGACUUGUUAUUGAAGGUUUCGAUGUUUAACUCCAAGAAACUGUAGUGCUCGAAUUUUGUAUUGAGGUUGAUCAUUAUUCCUAUUGUUCUUCAAUGGUCUUUUAGGUGGAUUAGAUUGGUUUGUUUAAAGCUUGAUAAACUUUUUAGCUAGAUAGGCCAUCUAUAGUUUGCAAUGAUUACUUUGAUUGAUGCCCAAAGUUUUGUUGAUACUCAAAGUUUUGUUGCCAAUAUAAUACUAUUGUGGUCUUUUUUUUUACGCCUGUGUAAUGUAAUGUAUGCCUCUGAUGGAUGAGAAAAUGAAGAAUCGAUCUACUGACCUGGAAAAGAUUCACAUUUUUUGUUGCCCUUAACUACAGUAAAAAGAAAUUCAUAAUAUGUCAAAAUCAAAAUUCGUGAAAGAAAUAAUUCCUGUUUGUUAACCAACAAUUUACAAAAUGGCAGAUUGAGUGUAUGCAAUGUAGGUUAGGACAUUAAGAUUUAAGAAGAGAGACAAUGCAGAUAACUUCAGGUUUAUGAGGAGAAUUCUGUGGGAUGUCAGAAAGCAACAACCUGCGGUUUUCAGGCUGACAAAAUAUGAGGUAAUGAAAGAUUUACCUGAUUACCUAAUGUGGUGUUGUAUGAAAUAAAAGUUGCUGAUGCCUUUUUCUUGCAACAAUGAUCUAUCUCAAUCAUCGAAAUCAUUCAAGAUUAGUUGUAGCCUUUGAACGCUUAUAACAUGUCAAUUACGCUACAGAACUGAAGACUUUGGAAAUCAAACUUCCCUCUCUUUGCUGACACAACACAAUUAUGCAAGAUCAUCUAGCAUGUAUCUUGUUAGUUACUCCUACUAAUAUGUAAUGUACUGAUUUGAGUUGCAUUCACAUUAUGAAUCAUUUCAUCAACAACCUCAAUAAGCUUGUUAGCUAUUGUAUGUGAAUGCACUUGGUAACCUUUGAAAAUCUGCAUAUUGGUCGAAAUUAUUACUCAUACUUUCGUUCAUAACUAAAGGAAAUGAAGCAAACAGUCCAUCUAAACUAAAUCAAACAUGAGAAAAUUUGAUUAUUAUGAAAAGAGAGUUAACAAGCUCCUUUGAUUUAAAUAAAAAGCUACAGUAACUGCCAGCAAUGCCACCAGCAACAUGUUGAAGAUCAAGCUCAUCAAGGACUUUUGAGACGUGAAUCAGGCAACUGAUUCUCCCCUGCUGAACAAGUUUUAUGGUGACUUGAUCAUCAUUUAUGUGUACAUCUACUUCAUCAUUCUUGGACUUCCUAGUUCCUAUGGGACCAUGAGCUAUUUAGUUAUGAUUCAUCACAAGGCUGAUUAAGAUUUUCCUCAGUCUUCACAGCAGUGCCAUUGGCACCAACUUCCCUUGCCAGCCUAAUUUUACUGAUUAUCCUUUUAAGCUCAAUAAUGAACUUAAUUGCAUCUCUCAGUUGAAGCUCUACCCUCUGAAUUGCAGCACAAAUGGUCAAACUUUCAAAAGUAAGUAAUAAUAAUUGAUUUUUGAGCAUCUGUUAAAAGUAAGCAAUAGAACGUGAACAAGUCAACAACAUUUGGUAGCUCACCUUUGAAACUAGUCGUGUGGAUUUUUUCUACAGGAUGACAGGAAACAAUGUCUUCGUUUUACUUGUCCUUCUUUUUCUGUGCAAGAAAGGGAGGAGGAAUAUCAUGGAGAGAGGUGACUACCUUGGUGGAGUUGGGACUGGGAAUCAAAUGCUCUAAGGCUAUGUACUCGUCAUAUUUCUGUCGAAUCUUCUCAAUAGCAGAUAGUUUUUUGAUAUCCUUAUGACCUCCAUCAAUAGCUAAUAUUUUCAUAUGCGUCAUGAUCUCAGAAUCCACAAUUUUUCCUCUCAAGUCUUGGUCACAUGCCAAAGUUGGCGCUUUUCCUCCUGCUGCAUCCCCUGAAAGGUCCUUAAGAAGGAGUUCUCUAAAUAGAUGAUGGUGGCAAAUGGGAGGCUGGACAUCUUGGUAAAGUUAUGUCUUGCUGUUGAUAGUUCGAUGGAUCACAUUCACAUGAAUAGCCAUCCUCAAGAAAGUGCUUCUUCUUUGGUAUUGGAAUCGUCAAAAACAAGCAUCUUCUUGGGACAGUUCACAAUGUACCAGAUGUGUCUUUGCUUCCUACUGUUUAGCAAUCUGCUAGAAAGGAACAAAGACAAAAGUGUAAGAAAACCAAUGAAUAUAUACAAAGAGAGAACCAAAUCAGCUGAGAGGACUUGGUAGAAUGCUGGACUUCUGGUUUAAAAAUACCAAAAACAGCUUGUUAUUUUUAUUUACUUUAAUAGAAACAAGAAGAGUAACCUUUUUUGUCCAGUUAAGAUGAUCAAGAAUGACUUGUCAUACACUUAAUUAAGCUGGAAUUUCUUUCAAUAGAAGCCAUAAAAACCUUUCAGAUUCAAUCUCUUUUAGGAUCACAAAAUAAAGGGAGGAUUAGUUUGGUUCGGUUUAGUUGAGAACUGGAUGAAGCAACCGUUCCAAUAUGACCGAAGUUUGUUAAUUAGGUUCCCCAAAUUUUAUUGAUGAUCAUCCUGUUUCAAUGUCCUCUCCAUCCGCCACUGUGAUUUGCCAAAUGCUCUCUUGCUUUGUGUUUUUCUUUCUUUCCCUUGUAUUUGAAUAUUAUGAUAAGUUUCUGAGUCAAAUUUUAGUUCUUUCUUCACUAAUUCAAGUGCUGGCAUCAGGGAUUUUCCUUCUUUGUAGUUUUUUUUUUUUUUCUCUUUUGGCUCUAAGGUUUGAGAUUUCAUCAAAUUGGUAAUCUCAAUUCUACCUCAAGGCUAAAAUAGGCUCAUAUGCACAAUUUGUAUUUAAUGAACUCUUUCAAAAUUUGCAUUUUUAUGUUUGCAAUGUUCAUACGAGUAUAGUUUUGGUUGAAGCCUCAUAAUCAUUAUGGGUUGGCAAAAAGAGGUCCACUCAUCAGAAAAAUCUCAAGACCAAUAGGAUUUGGCCCAAAAAUAUAAGGUCAUUGAUCCGCUGCUUUUACUGGGGCGCGUUGCAGGAGGAGUUUGUUCUAACAAACUCAUAUGGGUCGGAUUGUUAUUAACCCGACCCGCACUUCAAGUGUAGAAUUUCACAUAUUUUUGGAGAUAGUAGUGCAAUUGUCCUUUUUUGUUUUUUUCAUUAUAUGAGAGUCUUUUGUCAUUUGUUUUAUAACAAUAUUCUUUUAUAAUCCCAUAUUUUUCAUAACAUUUGGUUUGUCGAAUUUUCAAACUCGCUCUUAUGUUAGAUUCAUCGUGAUUGUUUAAAAUUCAAAGGAACCAUUUUUCAUUAAAAAAAUUUUUUUUGCCUCUUUUCCCCUUUUAGUAUCAUUUCACAUUUCUAAAACACAAGAAAAAGCAGCCCUUUUCUUCCAUGAUUUUAUAGGAAAAGAUUUUGCAACAUUAAGGCAUUGUUUGGAAAGGAAUUUUCUAUCAAAAAAAUCUCUAUGUUUUCCGUGAAGAAGAAGCAACGUGAAGCCUUGUGAUGAUCACCAACAUUAAGUUGCCACCAUGAUGAUCAUGAGCAGCAUGAAGACUAAUAAGUCAGGCAGUGCGACACCAGAAGAAGCAGUUGAUGAUCAAUUUGAGAGAACUUUGUUCAGGUUUUCAUUUUCAAGGAUAAAGCCUAUUGUCCCAACGAGACUGUACAUCCAAAUCCCUGCCAUGCAAAUAAUGAAAUUGCCUUUGCUGACUUUGUUUUUCUUUUUCUUGGUCUUGUGAAUUUCCAACAGUUGCUGAUAUUUCGUGCGUGACAGCUAUUUCUUUUCUUUGGGGGCUUCGUUUUGGAGAGGGUUUUGGGUGGCAAAUGAAAUUAGCAGUCUAGUACAAUCAUGAGGCUGCAAAUCAAAACAAAAAGGGUCUAUCUAUUCUCAACAUCUCCUAGUGCAGGUAAUACUUUAUGCACCGGUGCCUAACCUAAAGGGGAAAGACUACAACUGAAAGUUUGACCAGUUAUUUGCUUUCUUGGAAAUGCAGUAUUGGAAAGUUAACAUUCACUGAUUGGAAUCAAGCUUUGCAGUUUAUAUUUUAUAGUACACUUAAUCUGCAAUGAGUUGAAAAAUUAAGUAAAUAGCAAAAAAAAAAAAUGUGCUUCUUUGCAAAAUUUGGACAUAAACAUCAGCUCAUGAAUUCGAAGGAGGCCGACUUUUUAAGUUUCAAGUUUUUCAAUCAGCCAAUUUGCAAAGGAACUAAUACUACACUACUGAUGAUCAAGAAAGCUAUCCGUUACUUCAAGACAAAGUUGUAGAUUGAAUUGCUCAGCACAUUGUUGGACAGGAGGAGUCAAGAUGAGAUAAUAAUACUCUUUAACUCAGUGUGCAGGCCUCAAAUUGUAGUGCUAUUGUAAAAUCAUCUUGAGACAGGAGUAGACAGAAAUGCUGACAGACUACAGAUUAGCUCCACAAUGAAGUCCGGAAAACGGUUUUCCUUUUUCAAGUAAUGUUUUGUUCCAAUAAGUUAAACUUCAAACUUACAUCAUAGACCAUAGAUGCACGAAAUACCAAACACACAGUCAAUUAGAAGAGUGAAAUAAGGCUCUGCAUCUUGCUCAGGACCAAGGAGAAAAAACAACCUUCAACCAGCCUUGUACCUUGCAUCUUCAAGGAAGCACCUUUUAUCAUCAGUUCAAGCCCUCCAAGACUGCAGAAAAUUGCAGACUAGAUAAUUAGACUAACCCUGAGGCUAGCUCAAGAAUUUUGAGCUACAAACUUGAAAAUAUGAACCAGAAAUAGUACAUCACAUCCGAAAAUUCUUUAAUCGUUUAAUAGCUGCUGGUUGGUUGAACAGCUGCAUAUUGUUUGUCCACAACCUCAAUGAGCUUGUUUGCUAUGGCAUGUGCAUAAACGGUGGAACCUUCAGAAAUCUGCCAGAUUCAAAUUAAACCAUGACUUUGUCAUAUUUCCAAAAUCACAAGGUAAAACAGUUUCAGGAAAUUAAGUGUGCUUAUUAAUUAUGAAAAUGAGUUAUCAUGACCUUAGAAUUGAACAAAAAGCUGUAGUAAUCUCCAAUUAGCCCACCAGCAACAUGGUGAAGAUCCAACUGAAGUUCGUCAAGGACUUUCGAUACAAACAGAAGGCAGUUGAUUCUCUUCUGCUGAACAAGUUUUACCGUGACUUCGUCAUCAAUGAUGCGCACAUCAACUUCUGUAGACUUGGACUUCCUAUGAAGCCAUGAACUCCGCAGUGAUGAUCCAUCGUAGGGCUGAUCAAGAUCAUCCUCAGUCUUGACAGCAGCCCCUUCUGCACCAUCUUCUACUUUAUGCCUUUUAAUUCUAUCUCUGCUGCAUCUCUUCUUCUCCACCAGAAUUUUGAGUUCAGCCACCGUCCUCUUGAGCUCAUUGAUAUAUCCAAUUGCAUCUCCCACAACUGAGGCUCUAUCAUUCUGGGAUGGAGACAUAAAACAUCAGAAAAGCUGAUACAGAUGUGUGCAUAGAUAGAUAGGAACUCUUGACAACUAAAUCUGGUAAACAAAUUUAACAUUCAAUUAACAACCUGAAAAGUUUCAAUCAUUACCUUACUGGGAUUGGGAACCAAACUCCUUAAAGCUUGGUACUUGUCAUUAAUUUGCACCCUCCUUUGCCUUUCAGUAGUAAAAUGCUUUCUACCCUUACCAUCUCUACCUUUACCUAAACACUUCACAUCCGCAGUGAACUCAAAAACCCCAUUUUCAUAACUCCUACCAUCUCCAUCUUGGAACAAACAGCCACUGGCCUCUCUAUCAUCUACACCAGUAAACAAGGAAUCAUUCCUUGAACCUCCCAAGUUAUAGCCAUGUGGGAAAGAGUGAAUCAACUCCCUCAACAAAGGGGGCUGUGGGGGAAGAUUCACAGGCAAUAAAGGGUCAUAAACAACAGGUGAGGGCGUUGUCACGCCGUCGGUCCCGGAAAGGUCCCCGAGAAGGCCUAAUGAACUUAAAAAAUUUGAAGGUUUUUGGGCUGACGAGUUUGCAAAAGAGAUCGAUGUAUUUGGUACUAGCAAAGCGGAAGGUGAACAUCUUGGUAAAGGUAGCAUGUUAAGGAGAUCAGGAGUUGGAGGAUAUGGGGUGUCAGGCAAUGGCAUACUGAAGUGAUGAUGCUGAAUGUUUUGCAUAUCAACUUGUUGCAUGUGCUGGUGGUGCUGGUGGUGAUGAUCUUGUAGUUGUUGGUGGUGAUAGAUAAAAUUCACAUCUUCCCAGUUUGAUGGAUCACAAGAUGAUAAAAUCUGGUUGCGGUUAGACUCAUGAACCAUGUCUUGCAAGUUAGUGUGUUCCAUAUCAAUAUUGAGUUGCUGCUGAAGCUCCAUCUCCAUGCCUGCGGCUGAGGCCGCGGCAGAAACUACUUGCUGUUGUGGCUGGGAGGCAUUUCGUUGGUGGUAGGGAUGAUCCUCCAUGGAAAAGCUAGGGCUGCAAUUUGGGACAUGGGUUUGUGAAAAACCAUCCCCAACCAGCCCCCCUCCUUGCAUAGGAUGAGGAUCAAAACAAGCACUUUCUACGAGCAUCUUUGUGGGAUCAAGAAGUUAGAAGAUAGUACUAGUACUGAAAGUUAUGUUUAUUUGUCUCCUACUUUUUGGGCUUUUUUGUCUGCAAACCUGGCAGAUAAAAACAAAGGAAAAAAGUGUAAGAACAUAGUACUGUCAAAAUUAAUCCCAACUGAGAGUAUGAGUAGAAGAAAGAAACAAAUCUGCAGAAAAGUGCAGAACCCUUGAAGUUUUAUGUAAACUAGGACCACUAGCCCUGCAGGCUUUUUAGCCAGAAAAAUAUUGCUUUUUUAUUUUGGGUGGUCCUAGAAAUAGAACUGUCAAGAUUCAAGAAUGCAUGGCUUGGCCAUAGGAUAAAUGAACAAUCAAAUGAGGAGAAAACAACAGGAAUUGAGAGAUAAUCAGGUCAUGGAAAUGAUGAAUACCUUGUUGUUUUUGAAGAUUCACUGAUGGAGAGUUAAGAGGGGCAGAAGAGUUUUGAGCACCUAGGAUUAGGAAAUAAAAGAGGGAAGGUUGGUUUGGUUUGGGUUAGGGGAGCUGGAAGUUGAUGAUAUAGCAUUUGUUGUAGUACUACAACAAAACAUUUUCAGUUUUCUUUUUUAUUUGAUGUUGGCUUUCUGUGCAUUUUGGUUUCCAAUUUGGGGAAGUUUGUUACUGAGAUUCUCUAUGGCGUGUAGGGCCUACUCAUGAUCUCCGUAUUCUGAUUGCCUCUGAACUGGUGUAUGAUUUGCGCUGACUGGCCUUUGCUCUCUCCAUUUUUGCCUUUAGUGCUUUUAUUUUGAAAGAAAAGAAAAUGUGUGAUCAAUUUAUUUUUUGAAAAUCAAUUUCAAUUUUGUUAGUACUUUUUUCAAAAAGGGUAAUGAUGGGGAAGGUGAUCCCAAGAAGGGCUUUCUUCUUUUUUUUUUUGUUGGGGAGAGAGGGGGGUGUGUGUGUUCCCUCUUAGAGGCACUGUUUGUUUUGAGGGAAUUGAUGAGAUUUUUGAUAUUUCCAUUGAUUUUUGAGGCGAAAAGGAAAAGAUAUGGAGGGAAAGGAAGAGAUGAGAUCUAAUUAUUUUUUAUUUGUCUACUUUCCGUUUAAAAGUGGAUGAAAAUGGAUAGAAAGGACAUCAAAAUUAAUGAAAAUUUUAAAAUUUCUUAAAAAUCACAUAUUUACAAAUUAGACUUUUAAAUUGUGAAUAAAAAUAUAACUAAUGCGUGAUAGUUUUCUUUUCUUUCAUUCCAUAUUCCAAACAAGAUGAGUGGACUCUAAUUUUCUCAGUUUCCUUUCUUUUCCUUCCAUAUUCCAAAUUAGAUGGACGGACGAUUUCCUCUCUUUCUCUCUCUCCUUUCUUUUUCUCUCACAGAAUCCUAUCCUUUCCUUUUCUUCCCUUUCCUUCAAUCCAAAUGGUGCCUUAAGAUGAAAUUGGACAUGUUUGUUGUGAUUAAAAGUGAUACUUAAAUAGACACAUCAUAAGUUAUCCGUAUCAGUUCUUUCAAAGAUCUGAGGAGCGUACAAUGAACAUUGACAAAGACAAAUAAUGCUAGAAAAACUGUUUUUAUUAAUUUGUGGAGUAGAAGUGUAAAAUACUCUAAAUUGAGUGAUUGCAGGAGCAACCAGCCUUGCGUUGAACGGUCUAGAUUAGUCGAAUCAGCUCAGUUCAAUUGAGAUUAUCCAUUAAAUUUUUAAAUGGACGGUCCAAAUUAAAGAGAGCACAUUCAGUCAAUCAAAGCCAUUGAACACAUGCUGCGAUUGUAAUUAGGGAUGGCAACGCCCUCCCCCGCCCCCCGCCCCGUUGCCUAUUAGUUCCCCCUGUCCCCCGCCCCGUCCCCCGUUUCCUACUCCCCCCGCCCCGCCCCGCUUCGCUUCCCCCAAGGGGGCACCCACGGGGUUAAUAAAAUUUUAUUAUAUAAUUUUAUUAUAAUUAAAUUUUAAUAAAGAAUCAAGUACUAAACUAUCAACAUAUCACCAAAUUAUUAUUCAUUGUAAUUUUACAAUCGAAACUCAUAAAAACAAUCAAACAGAAGUUAUUUGAAUACAAUCCAAUACGAUGAAAUAAAUAUAACUAAAAUAGUCAAGUUUUCACUUUUAGUACAAAUGCAAUCACUAAUUCUUUAUUGUGUUUGUGCUUUUUUUUUUGAGAAAAAAGUGUUAUUCUAUUAAGUGUAAUUUGAAAUUUAGUAUAAAUGUAUUAGUAAAUUUAGUAUAACUAAUUAAUAAAUUCUAUUAGUAGCCAUGCAUAAUUAUUCAUAUAAUUGAUAAUAUCAAUUAUAUUACAUAAACUAAUAUACAUUAUAUAAUAAAUCUAACUAAUAAUAUCAUUAUCAUAAGUUUAUAACUAAUUAACUUACAUAUUAUAUAUAUAUAUUUUUUUUUUGUUUUGCGGGUGGCGGGGCGGGGGAUGGGGCGGGGGUAUACUCCCCCACCCCCCGCCCCGUUUCUAAGCGGGGGGAAAUAAUUCCCCCCCACCCCCGCCCCACCCCCCGCCCCAACCCCCGCCCCGAGAGCCCCCCGCGGGGGUAUCCGCACCCAUUGCCAUCCCUAAUUGUAAUACAGCAGACAACCCAUCUCUAUGGUACUCUCAUGCUUUCUCAUUUUGAUUGCAAGUUUAUAGAAACACAUAAUAGCUUCAAAUUAGGCAGCCAUUUUAAUUAAUCUCAUUUGAUGCGUUUAUGAGCAUUAUAAUAAAAAAAUAUCCAACUUUUUAUAAAACAGUUGACAUUACAACUUUACAUACAAAUAAAAUAGAAUAACAUUUCAAAAUCCCUCAUUUACAUUUAAAAUAAAAAAUAAAAUAACACUAUCGUUAACAAAGAGAGCACCUACUUCCAAGCCUUCACUUCUAUGUUGGAAGUAGGUGCUACUUUUUUUAACGUUAGUGUUAUUUUACUUUCAAGUCUUAACUUCUAUGUUGGAAGGGAUUAAAUCUACACCCUUUUAUUUUAAAACUGUACGUUUGACAUGUUAGUGGCAAGUAACAUUAAGAUCGAUCAUUUAGUAUUAGUAUUGAAAUUUAUAAACAGAGUGCGUAUUUGAAAUGAAAAUUGAGGAUUAAUUUGUAACCUCUUCUUAGAAUAUAGUUUCUUUAUUUUAUUUUUUAUUCUUUUUGUAUAGGGAAUAGGGAUUGGUUGACAUAAAUUGUGCACUAAAAUGUUGAUGGUUUCUUUGAUUUAUUAGACAAGAAUUUCAGAGGAUUGGGGAACAACUUCCAGAUGAGAAGUGUGUCCCAGCGGGGGACGGAUCUCGUAGGGCCAAGCUUGGCUGCCUCUUUCGAUUUGUUAGUUUUACAACAACUUCAGCGCGUUUCUAUAACACAACUGUACAUUGCGUUCCAUAUUGUGGGUUCUACGUCUAAUUAGUUAAGUUUCUCCUACUGUUCUCAAUUAUUUAGUAUUUUUUUUUUGUCAAUCAUCGCUUUUUAUUUAUAGCAUCAUACACUAUCUUAAUCUAAGGGAGAGACCCAACUGGAUCUAAGAGGGUCGGUGGGGACUGAACCACCACCGGACCGUACGGAUACAUCAUCCGUUUGGAUUUUUUAAGAAGCCACUUAAUAUAAACCCUUGCCUCCCACCCUUACCAAGCCUUAAAUGGCUUAGUGGUGGCCACCAACCCAAAGACUGGUGGUUCAAUUAUUUAGUAUUUCAUGGAUGAGUGGCAAUCAUAAUAAAGUCGCUCAGCUAGUUAAGAAUGCAAAAAUUCAUAUGUGAUCGUGUCUUUUGAAGGAGAGAUCCUCCGAACAUUAUUGUGCAAUUUCUAAUGACAAAUUUUUAGAAAGUUAAUGAAAUUUCAAUAUUUUAUCAAAAAAAGAAAUAUUCUGGGUGCUGCCAAUUGGCAUCUGCAUUCAUACAAUUUGUAAAUAUUUCACAACAUUUUUUUUGGUAGAAAAAAGUUUAAAUGAUUUCGACUCCUAUAAUCAUCAUGGGUCAGAUUGCAUUUUCAAAUCUAUAGACCGCUUACAAGAAUUCUCAUAAAUCGUCCACUAAUACAGCCCUCAGGUUUCCACAACAACGUUGUUGUUAAAUCGGUUGAGUCGAGAAUUGCUAAUUGGUGCUGCAGCUUAGUACUAUUCAGCAAUCCAAUUUACAGUUGAAGCGUGGGUCCCACUCCCGCCAGUGAAUUCCUCCAUGCAAACCGGACUUCCCAACUAACAUAAGCAGCCUCCAACUAACAGUUUACAUUAGUGCAUAAUUUUGACAAGGUUUAGAUAAAUCAAAUGGUAAGAAGAGUUAGCGUAUACAAUACUGAUGAGUUUUAUGUCGCUUCAAAAAAUAAAAAAAAAAACGAAAGAAAUUUAUGUCAUAGAUGCUCUUUGGUGUACUGUGUGUCAGGUAAAAUUGUAACAAAAUUUGUAAUGAUUAAUCAGAGGGUAAAACUUAAUCAAUUUAACACGAGAAAUUUUAUGUAUUACUAAUAUAAGUGAUAAAAAUAUAUUAUGGAUGGUGUCAAUUCUCUAAAAUAAUUUUUAAAUUAAUUUUAUUGGAGUUUAAUGGAGAGAUAUUCUCUCUAAUAUAACGGAGAAUCUCAGAAGUAAUAUCAUCCUCUCUCUUUUUUUUUCUUUAUAAAAGAAACAAACAUAGCCUUUUAUUUAUCUUCUAAUACAAACAAAAUAUAGACAUCCCAACAUAUAUUUUGUAGGUGAUAUGUACGGUGGUCAAAGCAAUUAUUUAGGGGCUGAAUAGAAAAUCAGGUCAUGGAAAGUUGAUGUGCCUAAAGCAUAGCUGAUUUUCCUAUUAGUUAGCCCUGUUUCACGUUAAUGUUCUAAUGUCUUAUUCUUUCCAAACAAUCCCCACAGUAUGAGUAAAUUUUUUUUUUUUUGAUAGUAUAAAUGGGAAGAUUCGAACCCGAGACUUCUCACUUGCAGUAUGAGCAGACUGGUUUAAUCUUUAAUAAGUUGCUUAAAGGAAAUCUUUCACACUACAUUGUUUACGAACUUGUACGAUUAAUUCCUAGAUGAGUUUAAAAGGUUCAGUAAAAAUGAAUGCAAUUCCCGGCAAUAUCAAACAACUGUAUCAGUACCCAACUUGCAAACAAAAGUAUCACAAUAUUAUUGUCUUUGGCAUCAGAAAUUUUUACUCAUUGGAAUGUCCAUAUUGUUAGCUAUAAGAACCUAAUGGCAUCCGGAUGAUCUGUGAUUCUUUUUCUAAUCUUUUUGCUAAGCUGGAGUUACCAAGUUAAUCAUUAGACAGUGAAAUGCGGUUGCACACAAUUGUUAUGAUCAUCAAAUGCCAUUAACCACCAGAGAUAUGCGUGUUAAUCACUUGCCUGAAGUGUAGUAAAACAGGGUCAAGAAAAUCAGGCAAUAUUAUUAAGCAAACUAAAGGAGAAAACCACCCACAGUGUAUCAAGAGAAUCAAUGAUAAAUCAUGGACAGACUAUGACUCUGCCACAGCUAUGAUUUCAGGUAACUGCUAAGCAUCUCAAGUGAAGAGAUUAAUAAAUGCAUGUGCAGCAAGUAUUGCUUACUUUCAAAAUUGUCUUACGAAAGGAAUGACAAAAGACAAGCCACCGGAGUAGGAUGCGGUUAGCUUUCUCCUCAAUGAGGAGGUGGUGAGAAGCUGGAAAAGAUCCUUUGAAGCAGAAUCUCCAGCACUACCUUUAUAUGUUGUGCAACCUAAAAUUUAGUCCAAUAAGAAAGGAUAUGAUUAAUUAAAAAAAAAAAAAAAAGAAGAUAUGCCCGAAAGGAAUAACUGCCUGCUAUCAUCAAUUUUCGAUAUAGAAGACUGAGAAUCACAUAAAAGAAAAAGGAAUUACAAGGCACAAAACAGAAAUGUGCAAGUAGAUUUGAAGGUGAAAUGGCUGCAUUAGAUUCAAGUAUAUCCCAUUUUGUCUCUCAAGAUUGUACAGGAUAAAUCCUUUUUAGUUCUGUCCACAGCAAUAGCUGCCAAGGUUACUCCUCCACAGAGAGAAUGAACUUGCUUCGAGACUUCUUAUAUGUUGCUUCUUCAACAAACCUAACAAUGGUUUCAAUCAGACAAAACUUCUUAUUUCAAUGAUGAUCUUACAAGUCACGAUUCAGAACAAACUAUGUUAUAUUGAGACCCAAGCAUGUAUUCAUUUAUGUGACAAAUAAAGGAUCACUUAUCAAGCACCCAUUUAAAAUGAGCCAUGUCAUGCACUAGUCAAAUUUGCAGGAAUUCCAAAUCCUAAAUAUAGUAGUUAAAAAUUGUGCACUGCCCUCCAAGCCUCUCUCUCUCUCUCUCUCUCUCAUGCUCUUUUCACUGCUUGUAUCGAUUUUUUCUUAUAGAGGUUGGGAAAUGUAAAACAUGCUUCUCAAUAAUUAAGUGGAGAUACCAAAGGGUGGUUGCUGGCUUUCCUAAACAGAUGCAUGAACAUUAACAAGCUGGCACACUUGCUCAGACAGAAGGGGAGGGGGAAGAGAGAGAGAAUAUAAAACACAUAUACGUAUGCAUCUGGUUUGCAUAUAUCUGCAUAAUGUGUUUCUAAAAAAUAGAUAAAGAGUUUAAGAUUCACCUAUUAUCAUUCUGAUAAGCUAAGAGUGUCAGAAGAUAAGCACCAGUCCAUCUUACCAUCCCAUGGAUAGAAAGGAAGCUCUUUAAGUGAAGGUAAAAUUCAAAAAGAAUAAUAAAAAAUCAUCUAA